rnacentral:lncRNA from 1 species
GGCACUACAGUGGCAAAGGAUACGAAAAAAAAAAAUUAACCUAUAUACUAUAUAAGUUCUUUAUAUAGUACUACCUCCGUUUAAAAAAAAUGAUCAAUUUUUUUUUGUUCGUUUAAAAAAAUGAUCUUUUUCUUUUUUUGAUAAUACUUUAAUUUCAACUAUCCACCUGACAUGUUUAUGACCACAAGAUUAAAGAACAUUUUGAUACAUUAGACACUACUUUAAUUUAAAGCUACAAGAUUCAAAAAUCUUCUUUAUUUUCUUAAACUUUGUGUCAAGUCAAAGUAGGUGAUUCUUUUUUAAACGGAAAUAUAUUUUUUGGACGAAGGGUACUUACCAUUUUUCACUACCGACUACAUAUUGUAAGUAGUUACGUUGAAUUACUUUUUAGAAUUUGGUAAACCGAAUAAGGUGCGAUAUCUCACAGUUAAGGGUGAUACUAAAUUUACAAUAUCAUAUUUGGUUAAUGGUACAAAUAUAUAUAUCGGGACUAAUUUACACCAUCAACCAAAAACAUAGUCUUGGGAUAUCUCAUUUUAUCCUAUCCAAUAUAAAAUUAUUUUAUACCACCUCUCAUAUGGUAUAAAUUAGUCCAGAAAUUAUAAUCCUAAAACAAUUUAGUCUUCUAAGUACCGAAGGACCCUGUAUAAGUACGUGUAUACGUUUUAAACUUAAAAUAAAAUUAUUAAAAAUUAUAUAAAAAUUAUCUGUACCCAGGUGGAAAAAUAUGAGGGCCAUGAGUGAAGUAAAACGGCGAAAUAUCUUUGGCAGCAAAUAAGGGACGAUUAUUUUCAUUUGGAGUGCUUAUCAUAGCAGCCAAUAAGCCUCCUGUACUUGUUCCUGCAACCACAUCAAAGUAAUCUGCAAGUCUUGCAUCUUUAUUGUUGUCCAGUUCCUGACUCAAAAACAACCAUACGUUGUGUAAGAAUUUAACAGAUUUUACGAUCUAAUAAUCUAACAUACAAAUCCAAUCAAUUAAUCAAGAUCAUGCAACUGCAUGAUUUUCUUGUAAAUCUGCAAAUACAGUAAUUCCAUCAGGAAUACAUCUUGGUGAAUCUUGACUUGAAUUGAACAAAAACCUUUUAUUUGUAGUUUUUUUUCGCUCUCAUUUCCUUUUACUGUUCUGAAUGUACAUAGUAUUCCGUUUUAAAAAGGCAGAGAGAAGAUUUUAUUGUCCUGAAUGUACAUAUUAUUCCGUUUUAAAAAGGCAGAGAGAGGAUGAGUUACUUUUAAUCACUCUCCAUCAAUGUAGGAAGUGGGAAGUAUAUGUGUGUGGUGUAUACAUAUAUCUGCAUGCAUGCAUAUGCAUGUGUUUAUACAAAUUUUGAGUAAAACUAAAUUAAAGGUAAAAAUGUUAGGACGAAGAAAGCAGUUUGCAAAUUUUGUCACCGAUAAUAUAAAGUCUUUUUCUUUUUUACGUCAUUAGUUAGUUACCAUUUUUACGUGGAGUAUAUAGUUGUCAAUUGAGACUAAGUUAGAAAUGUUUAAAUGUUUAUUUUUAUAUUUGGAGUGUUUAUUUGUCAAUUGAAUCCAAUUUAAACGUCUAUUUAUGUAUUUACGAUACCUGAAGUUGGCCUUCAAGAAAAGUAAGAACAGUAGCCGGAAUAAUUCCUUUAAUGCCACCUCCAUCAAUGCUAAGAACUGUCACCAUUUCCCCCAGCACAGAGGAUGCUGAUCCAGUAGUUGCCAAUAUCAUAAAAAUUAAAAUUAAAAAAGAUCCAGUAGUUGCCAUUGCAAAUAAUUAGAGCUUCUUUCUUUUUUUUUUUUAGCUAUCUCAAGUGUUCUGAUUUUUUGGUGCCUUGAACAUCCAACAAGCAUGGUAUUUAUAAUCACGUAAACAGGGUGAGAAAUUUUAUUUUGUGUUUGACGUAACCAAUCAAAAUUGUCCUUUAAUUUCAAAAUGUUGACAUGUGCCUUUGCUCAAGUAGAGGGAAGUGAAUUUAUAGUUCACGUAGGCUCACUUAACACAACAAAUUCUCGUAAAUAUAAGAAAAUUACAUAAAUAUACAACUUAUGUUUCCAAUAUUACAAAAAAUUCCAACUCCGUAAAUAUAUUACAAAAAUUCUAACAUAUACACAUAAUGCUAUGUAUAUGUCGGCUAUGUUAUGUAUAUUAAUAGAGAGAGAGUAAAAUAAUUAAAAAAGUAGAAGAGAGUGUAAUUACUUCCAAAAGGGUUGGUAUUUAUGUUAUUUAUACCGUAAAUAUUCCAUAGAUUUUCUUUUACGCCAAACACAUUUACAUGUGACUCAACUUGACAUGAACUUUUACUUUCACAUCUAAAAUUGACGUUGUUUAUUUUAAGCACCUAAAUCCGCUAUCAAUUGUAUCAUUUUGACACCUUUCGACAUAGCUCUGGCACGUGGGUUGCAAUCACUUCCAACAUGGAUUAAACGAUCAACUGAUUUAUGCCAUUUCAUUUUAAAUCGCCACAUCAUUAUAUAUAUCCACAAUUUUUUUUUUAAACAAGGACCAAAACACAUGACAAGGUGUCCAUUGAAUUAAUGAUAUGUGGUUUUUUGACCAAUUACAAUAAAACUACUUUAACCAAUCCCCACCGCAACAUUUUUCCCACCCAACCACUGUCUUCUUUGAGCUUAAACUUCAUUAAUAGAUGUUGAAAAGCUCGAACUCCAUUAACUAAGGUUGAAAAGAUCAAACUUCAUUAAUGGAGGUUGAAUAUUUUACUCUUCGUGUUUGAAUUAGAAACUCAAUUUUAUUAGUUUUGAUUUUAUUUUCUCCUGAUGUAAUAUUUGUCUACCAAAACGGAGCCCGCCCCUUUUUUCCUCAUCACUAUUAAUUUGUUAAUUUGAGUUAUUAGUUUAGUUUUAGGUUAUAUUGUUAGAAGUACCAUUAAAGGAAUAUACAUCUUUUGUUUGGUUUUAGUUUUAGGUUUUCUUUACUUUUUAGGUUAUAUUGUUAGUAGUGAUAUAUAAAAAAUAUUAAAAUAAAUUAUUUUGUAAGAGAUGGAGGGGAUUUGAUAGUUCUAUUAAAGGAGUUUGAGCUUAAAAAAAUGGUGGAAGAUAGUGGGAUGAAAAAUAGAGAAGAAGUAGAUAAAAUUAAAUUAAAAAUCGGCUAAAAUAAGGUUGUCACGCGUCAAAAAGUGAGCGUUCUACUUUUACUUUGUUAUGUUAGCGAAAGGUGCUAAAGUGACACAACUUAUGACUACAUAAGGUGUUUAAAAUGAACACCGUCCACUUAAGGUGCCAAAAUAAAAGAUCGUGCCAAGUUAAAGUGCAUGUUGAUGUGUUUAAGCUUUCUUUUACUUGCCACAUUUAGACUUGACAUACCUAUAAAGAAAAUGAAGAAAAGUUAAAUGUAACCCUGAACUUUCAAAAAUAGUAUGCAAAUACCUAUUUUAAUACUUUUAGAUUUUCAAUGCUCUUAUCGUCAUACUUUUGGGCUAUAUAUACCCCCGAACCUUAAAAAAUGGUAUGAAAAUACCCUUCGGUUUAACUUAUCAAUGCCGUUAUUGUAGUACUUUUGGAUCAUAUUAAUCACCUGGAGAGACACGUGGCAUCAUCGCAGUGCAUAUACCCCAUUUUCUUUUAUUUUCUCAAAAUUUAAAACACUACCCAUAUCAUAUUAUUUUACCUAAAUUAGGCCUGAAUAAAAAUUUAACCUGUGAUUUUUUCUACAAAAGACCCUUGCCUUUAUUGAGGGUGAGUGACAUGAAGAACAUGUGAGGGUCUUUUGGUAGAAAAAAUUGCGGGCUAAAUUUUUAUUUGAGUCUAAUGCGGGUAAAAUAAUAUGAUAUGGGUAGGUUUUAAAUUUGGAUAAAGAUAAAAGAAAAUCAGGUAUAUGCAUAGUGGCAAUGCUAGAUGUCUCUCCAGAUAACUUAAUAUGGACCAAAAGUAUGAUGGCAAGGUCAUUGACAACCUAAAAGUGUAAAGAAUAUUUACAUACCAUUUGUAAAAGUUCAGGAGUAUAUUUGCUCCCUUUUCGAAAAGAAAAUAAUGAAGACGUGAUUAUUUUUUUACACUAUCCCUAUUAAUUGAUGCUUAGUAUUAGGCCUUGAAAAAUAAUUUGGAUAAUAAGUAAUUAGUAUUAAGGAUGACGAGUCUCCUUUUCUCUCUUAUGGCAACAUGGUGGAAAUUUAGCCAUCUCCAUGCCUGUCAUUGUCUCCCCCUAACCCUUAGUUGUAGGAGAGCCUUCACCAAAUCCUAACAAAACAGACUUCUAACCUUAAUCCUCAAGUUUCUUAUCUCACAAGCCUAAAUCCUAAACUAAUUGAGCCAUCUUUUUUAAAAAAUAAAAAAAUAAAAAACUUAAAACGUAUUAAAUUUAUUCAUGAGAUUCCUAUACUUCAAUUUAUAACGGAUGAACAAUAAGAACUUGCUAAGGAGGAAAGCUUUCAUCAAACUAUAGUGGUGAAGUUGUCUUCAGGCACGCUGGAUUUGCCGAUGAUUAGAACUUUGCUACCGAAAGCAUGGCAUCAAGGGGCAUUGUUUGAUUGGACUACUUGUCCUUAGAAAAUUACUUAUUAGGGUUGAUCAGUAUGAUGACUUUUUAAAUGAUCUAUUAAGGCCAAUCACCUAAUUUACGCACAAAGGAAAAGAACAUCAAAUUAAGGGUUUUCCUUGGUCAAUAGGAUUUAACCCUAAAGAGGAAACUACAAAGGCAGUGGUUUGGAUUUCCUUGUCUCCAGAGUUGUUUUCAUGAAGUCAUUACUAUCAAUAGUGAUACAAGAAUGAAGAGAACAAAGAGUACAAGGUCUUGUAGAAGGUUCAAGUUUCAGAUUUUCAAGUGAUUAAAGACCUUUUUGAAGCCUUUUCAAAGCCUUGUCCAAGUGAAGAAAGGAAAAGGGUUCCCACACUCAAGAGGCGCCUAUCAUUAAGGGCACUAAGGAUUUUUUACACUACAAUAUAACACUCAAGAGGAUCCUUUCUUGAAGCCCUCAUUAAGGGCAUUUUAGUCGUUGUGUUGUAAUAAGUAUAAAUAGACAUUUUAGCUUCCAUUUUCAUUAGACUUUGAUGAAUUGAUUGAGUAUUACUCAAAUUUUAUUUUCUUUUCUUAGUGUAGGGCAUGAAAAAGCCAUCUUAGUGUAGGUCUUGGAAAAGACAUCUAAACUAGGGAUUAAUACAUUUGAUGGAUUUCACUUGUGUUGAUCAAUUGGUAAGAAAAGUGUGAUUGAGGAGUGUGAAUUCGUUUGGUCCAUCUAAGAGUGUGAUGUUAUCUCUCAUUGGUCUUGUGUGUAUUGGUGUUUGAUACACACCUUGGUGCUAUUCAUUGGUGUGAGUGUAUGUCUCACUACUAUCCCUUUACUUUUAUGCAUUUCAUCUUCAUCUCCCUUUCUUCUAGUUGCUGAUUUUUUUCAUUGAGUCCUUAAUUUUAGUUUUUAGAUUUAUUUUUGUAUAAUUUGGUAUCAAGAGCCUUGUAUAGGGUUGUUCCUAUAACUCUAUGUCUUGGUUUUAGUGUCCUUAUUAAGAAAAUUACAACAAAAAAGAGUCAAAUCCAAAGAAAAAUAAUUAAAAAAAGGAUAGAUCUUACUUUGCUUGUUGUAGAUCAGAAAUUUCCAAGUUAGAUCUACAAUUUUUUUAUUGUGUUUUGAAGGUUUCAAGUGUUAGAUUCUUGUUCUCUAGCACUUAAAGUGUCUAGAUCUAAGUUUAGAGCAAAGUUUGGUUGAAUUUGAAUUGUUGCGCCUUGUUUGAAGCUUUUGAGGUGGGAUCUCAUUUUUUAUCAUCUUUUUUGUGGCAUUUUGUGGCGGAUUUUAUGUUGGUUGUGUUUGUAUUGUCCUAAGGAACCUAGAUCUAAAAGAAAAUCCAAAUUUAGGGUUCAUUUGAUAGAGGGUCUAACUUUUGUCAACUCUUGAAUAUUCAUCUUGUUCUUCAAUCUUCAUCAUACCUUGUUGGGGAAGAAUAUUCAAGAGGUACAUUUGAUCCAAAAAGGUGGAGGAGAGAGGGUGUACUAGUUGUUAAAGGCAAUUUUCAAUAAGCUUCCUAGUCUUGCCAAAAGAAGAAAACAACAAAGAUAAAGGGAAUCUUCAAGUACAAAAUAGGGGGACCAUUAUUUUUUAAUUCAUUUGAAGCUCCAAAAAGGCUUUCAAACCUUCAACUUUCCCUCCCAAAUGAAAUUCUUCUUCUUUUUCUAAAGAGUGUUUGGCUGAGACAUGAAGUUUGGAAUUGAAAAAUUUUUGCAAUAUCAACAACCAAUCACAUUGUGCCACGUCAUCACUAGUUGAUCAACCUAAUUAAGCUCUAAACUAGAUUUCUUAGUUUCUCAUUUUUUAUUCUAGUUUCUUGUGUUUUAAAAUCUAUCACUAAUUAGCGAACUAGUAACUACCUACUAGGUUGAUAAUUAGUUUUGAGUCCGUCUGUUCGUGUCUUCGAUUUUUGUGUGCUUUUAUCAUUUUAAUUCGUAGUAGUUUGUUGGUUCAAGUCCGUGCAUCAUUUUAUUUGAGUCAUAUCAAACAAAAAUCAAUUCUGGGCCAAAGUAUAUUCACCACUCAUUUACUUGCCCAAUAUUUUCAAGUUUUUAACACUUGUGAGACCAAGUGUGAGGUGAGAUCCGGGUGUGAGUCUGAUGAGGUUUUUGAACUAACUUGUUUGCUUAUUUUGUAGGGUUUUGAUUGUUUGUUAGGUACUUACUCAUGGAACCUACGGGUUCAAGUUCACAAUCCAUUGUUAAUGAUAUUUUUGGGCUCAUCAUGGCUCAACUUGAUGCCAUGAAAUAAAAAAUGGCAAGAAUAGGUUCGGAUUUGAGAGAAAUAGAGGGACAUAUAGGAGAAAUGAAGGGUUAUGUUUUAUCAAUAAGGGGUGACGUUAUUAAAAUAAAAGAGGGGAUUGAUAUACUAUGUCCACCAAAACCUCCACAAGUUCAAAUCCCUCAAAACCAAAGAUUCUACACUUCCCCAAAUACAAAGCCACCAACCCAAAUCCAUCCUCAACCAAAACCAAUACCUCCUCUCCAAAUUACACUAAACCAAAACCCCUCUAUCCAAAUAGAAGUUGAGGGAGAGUUAAAUCCCAAGAAGAAUAAGGUCAAUCCACAAUAUGGAGAUAAAAUAGGUGGAGAAGUACAAGAAAAAUGUAAAGAAAAGAGGGAAAAGGAAAGGGAAACCAUAGGUUGUGAUGUUGGAAGGGGAAAGAAAUGCGUGAUUGUGGAUUUUGUCCCCAAAGAAUCAUUAUUACUCACUAACCCAAAUACUAGCUUUUUUUCUAGUAUUUUCUCUUCUCAUGUGCAGCUUCAAAACUCUAGAAGUCCCAAGGAGAAGCCCAAGGAAGUUCUCUUCAAGCCCUAGACCGAAAGUCCCAAUUUUGGGAUAAGUGAGUGCAAAGGGAAACCUUGACAUAUUCACUUGUAAUGUGGAUCUUGAAGUCUGUCCUCAAGAAAAACCAAGUGAAGAACACACUUCCCAUGAUCUAUAAUGUAACAAAGCUAUCUUCUACACUCCUAGAAACUUGAAUUGUAGUGAUGUGGCUAUUAGUGGCCAAAGUUGUGUAGUUUCGGAUUUUCUUAAUGAAGAAGUGUAUGAAUCUUCCUUUUGUGAUGCUCUUGGUGUUAUUAGGUUGAAUAAGGAACAAAAUCUUAUUGUGAGUACGCAAGCACUAGUUGAUUCUUUAGAUGACAAAAUCGAUUCUUUUCGUAAGAAUGAUUUGUGUCCAUCUAGUGCUAGCACUUAUAACUUGAAUAAGGUUAUAUUACCAAGAAAAAAGAGUAUUCACACACUAGUUAACCCUUGUGAAAAUCAAGGUGAGUCUACAUUGGUAUGUGAGUUGCCAACAACUAGUUAGGGUGUGCAAAAUGAUCAAUCGGGUAGAGUUGACCUUGAUUUGCUAGAAUGUUUAGGAGACCAGAAUUGUGAUUGUACUUGUGCAUAUGGUUUUGAUUAUGAUCCCUUUGCUGCUCGUUAUGGUUUGAAUAUAUGUGUGGGCUACUCUCUUGAAAGAGAAGGUGGUAUUUGUUUAGGUAUUCCAUCUACUUCUUCUUUGCGUGUUUCCUAUGAUGAACUUGAAACUAGUGAGUACAUGCAUAAGGACACCAUAGUUGAAGCUGAUUUGUGUGAUACCUUUCUCUACUCUCUAUUUGCCUUUGAUGAUAUGUAUGCUAUUAUAGAGAGUAUGUCUUUUAGAUUGGGUGAAGCCUAUGGGAAAAAAGUGUUGUCUAGAUCCAUGUCUAAGGCCACUCUUUCUAUUUGACCCCGGUGCCAAAUGUGGAUAUGAUGAUAUUGGCACGCUUAAAUUUUUGCUUGGUCUAUAUGACAAGCAAUGUAUUAUUCUUGAAAACCUGAGGGCAAAAGUGUCGUUGUCUUCUUGGGAUAAUGCUUUUAAAUGUGCAUCCUUGCUUGACACACUUGUGCUUGAAUUGAGUGAAUCCCAACUUGUGGAUGCCAAGUUGAUUGUUUGUUUGGAAGAAAGUAGUCAAAUGUGCUUAAUUGACUUAAUUCCAUUCUUAUGUGCCUCAUGUUCUAUCUCUUUUGAACCAAGUAACCCUCUUGUAGAUGAUAGUACCUUGGGUGAUAUCUUCAUACUUGAUUCUUUCCUAUACUACCUCUUUACCUAUGAUGAUAACCAUGUUAAUUUUGAAUGUGUAUUGUGCAGAGGUAGUAAGUUUAGUGGCUGGUUUCCUUGUUUUAAUGAUAAUGAUAUGUGGGUGAGGUGGACCUUAGGAUCAAUAGUGGCACCAUAUUUGAUGAGGUCCUUUUUAGAGGUAAUGAAACAAAUGUAUCUUAUGGUUCCUAAGCCAAAGGUAGUCUUACCUUCUGGGUAUAGUAAAACCAUUAAGACCAUUGUAGUUUCCUUAUCUCUUGAUAUUUGCCAAAACCACCUCCUUUGUGCCAUUCAUACUAAGCUUUUUAUGUCACACACAAGGGACUCAUGGAUGUAUGUCAAAUAGGAAAAACCAUGGCUUGUUGAUAUAUGUGAUGGUCUCGGGUUGCACUCUUCUUUCCUUAAUGUCUAUCUUAGACAAGUCCUAUGUGAUGCUUGUAGUAAGUGUUUCAUGAUCAUAACAAAGGAUUGUUGGUUGUAUUCCAAAAGUGUACCCUCUUGGCAUGGUUAUAUAAUUUGUGGUACUAAUGCUAACCCUCCUACUAAGAGGAUUAUGUGCUUUUUUUCUUCUCUCUUUGGUUUUGCAAGGUGUGAAUUUGAGGAUAAAUUCCUUUCAAGAUGGAGAGGAUAAUACAAGCCUGAAGAGCACAAAGAGUACAAGGUCUUAUAGAAGGUUCAAGUUUCAGAUUUUUCAAGUGAUUAAAGACCUUUUUGAAGCCUUUUCAAAGCCUUGUCCAAGUGAAGAAAGGAAAAAGGUUACCACACUCAAGAGGUGCCUCUCAUUAAGGGCACUAAGCACUUUUUACAGUACAAUAUAACACUCAAGAGGCGCCUCUCAUUAAGGGCACUAAGGACUUUUUAUACUACAAUAUAACACUCAAGAGGAGCCUUUCUUGAAGCCCUCAUUAAGGGCAUUUUAGUCAUUGUGUUGUAAUAAGUAUAAAUACGCAUUUUCACUUCCUUUUUCAUUAGACUUUGAUGAAUUGAUUGAGUAUUACUCAAAUUGUAUUUUUUUUCCUUUGUGUAGGGCAUGAAAAAACCAUCUUAGUGUAGGUCUUGGAAAAGACAUCUAAACUAGGGAUUAAUACAUUUGAUGGAUUUCACUUGUGUUGAUCAAUUCACAAGAAAGGUGUGAAUGAGGAGUUUGAAUUCCUUUGGUCCACCUAAGAGUGUGGUGUUAUCUCUCAUUGGUGUUGUUUGUCUUGGUGUUUGAUACACACCUUGGUGCUAUUCAUUGGUGUAAGUGUAUGUCUCACUAUUAUCUCUUUACUUUUAUGUAGUUCAUCUUCAUCACCCUUUUUUCUAGUUGCUGAUUUUUGUUCAUUCAGUCCUUAAUUUCACUUUUUACAUUUAUUUUUGUAUGAAAUAGCAUCGGGAAUGGGUAAACCCACGUCAUCAAUAAAACCACACAAAUAAAGUUCAAUACCUAGUAUAGCAAGGUUAAAGGUGAUUCUUAAUUUAAUGGAGACACUGCCAGACAGGUUGAGACAUGAGGCCUAGAACCAUAAGUGAUCUUAAAUCAUCCUUUGGCAUAGAAUACUAAGCAUAUUAUAAGAGAUUUAAGUGGAAGCUUUAAUAAAAUCAUGAAGUAAAUUCUAAAAUAUUUCUAAAAAAAAUUGAAUAAGUAAGUGCCAAGUCUGAAGGGGCCAACAUAAACUCAUACUCUAUGUUUGCAAACCUCCAAUAAAUCAAUAGCACGGUCACUGGGAAAAAGCCUUCGGGUGAUAAUAAAACAAUGUCUAAAUCUAGAAUAAAAAGAAACAAUGAACUAAUUCUUCGAAUGAUAAGGACUUACCACUACUAGAAGUUGAACUGAUAUCAACUAGCCAUGAGUCUAAGCUUGAUCACCAGAAUCUAUAUUACAUGAAAAAUGUAGGUAAAUUGUUUGCAGUCAAUUUGUCUAAAUGUGUGGAGCAUAUAGGAAUAAUAAUAAAUAACAUAAAAUAGUUAAGAUAAAAUCAUAAUAAUGCUUUCUCAGAAUAUACAUAUCUGAAAUCAUACUAACUAAAACAUACAAAUAGCCAUAUCAAAGAUGGUUAGAUAAAGUAGAUACUUUUAGAUGAGAGUUUUUUUUAUAAUCGGUAUAUAUCACUUGAGUUAAUGAUUCCUGAUGUCCAAAUCAGUUAGAAGGGAUGCCCCGUAGUUUGCCUUGGUAUAGGACCUAUCUAUCUAUACGUGAAUCCACUAAAUAAUGCCUUUGAUGCUAUUGAUCAACCAAUGAUGUGGUGAUAAAAUAAUCCUAUGGUGGCACAUAGCUCUGGAACUUGGGUUAUGUAAAACCCUUAUUUGCUCAGUGCUAAAUACUACUCCCAAAAUUGUUCUAAAACUAUAUGCUCAAUAAUAAUUUUAAAACUAUUUAUCUAUUCUAAAGGUUGAAACUUUACCAAAAAUCAUGUUUUGUAAACUAUCAAAACAUCACCCUUCUAUGGGUUUGCUUUAUUUUCUAUGAAUAUUUGAAGUGACACUAUAAAUCUAAUUUCAUGCUUUAAAACAUAAAUCUCAAAAUUCAUACACAAAUUCACAUCAUAAUUGUAAAGAUAAUAUCUAAAGUUUUUCUAUUCGUGUAAAUCAUUUCAAUGUUCAUAAAAGCAUAAAACAUAAAUAAUUACUAUGAAAAACCAAGAAUAUAAUUCAAGUAACAUAAGGUUUAAACAUGGGUUUUGAAACCUUAACUAUGAUUUUAGAAUUUCAUAAAAUCAAAUAAAGUUUUAGAAAUGGAUUUGAAGGAAACACCUCAUUGAGGUUCUACAUACCUGAAAUUGGAGAGUUAUUUUAGAGAUUUAUGACUUUGGAACUUUGGAAGUUUUGGAAUUUUAGAAACCCUCCUAUUAUGUUCUUGACUUUAGGGAAGAAUAAUCAGAACCUAUUGAAAUAUUCAAAGUGUUUUUAGGACAAAUUUGUGGAUUAUAGAUGAGUUUAGAAAGUUUACCAAUAGUAGAAUGACUAGAUUUCCCUAAAUUUUAUUAGAAGGAACAGAAUUGUAUGCCAGGGAAAGUGGUGUGAAAUUUUAUUAGGAGGAACAGAAUUGUAUGCCAGGGAAAGUGGUGUGUUGCUUGCACCCAUCACCUAGCACUCUAUUUGCCCUGCAUGAUCCAUAGCAAAACACCCUUUUUUGCUCUACACAAGCUUAAUUAUGUCAAUCUAGAAAGUGCUCCGCUAUGUGGAGUCCAAGGCGGAAGCUCCCGUGCGUGACGCAUGAUCCUAUUUCUCAGUCUAUGACGUUUUUACAACCCAAUACUCAACCUAGACGUAUUAUAACAUUUAUAAGUGUUAAAUAGCUUUAUUUUAUGACCCUAAAUGCAUAGGAAAGCUACUACAGAUGAGCACAAGAUUUGGGUUUGUUAUAAUAUCACCUACUCCACCUUCCCUCGUGGGAUAAUUCAUCCUUUAAUUAUAGCUAAAAUCAUUUGGAAUGAAUUGAACGGGACUAUUAUUUGUUUAGCUAUCAAUUGCCUUACUAACCAUAAACUAAAAUUAUCUUAUAUCAAAUGAUAUUAUAGUGGAAUGCACAUAGCACAAAUGUAAACCAUAGAUAUACAAUGCAAGAAUCUUGAACAUGAAGGCUACUACUAAUUUCUGUAGAAGGAGGGACAUUACCUGAAAAAAUAUUAUUGGGAGGAGAAAAUAGGCGCGGGUACUUAAAUACAUAGCCUUACAUCAAAAUAUGAUUUUGUCUUCUUUGAGAAAUCUUAAACUAUUCUCUAAUCAUCAUAUCCUUCUUUACAACUUAAUGAACUAAAUUUGUCCCCAUUAAGGCAACUUUACCUACCUCCAACUAACUGAUAAGAGACCUGCAUCUUCAUCCAUAGAGUGCCUCAAAUAGAGCUAUAUGUAUUCUAGAAUGAUAACAAUUACUGUAAGCAAAUUCAAUAAGAGGCAAGUGAUUGUUCCAAUUACCUUUAAGUCAAUGACGUACUCCCUUACAUAUUCUCAAGAGUCUGAAUUGUGUGUUCUACCUAUCCAUCAAUCUGUACAGGUAAAAAGUCGUACUAAGGUCUACCUUGGCACCUAGACCUUUCUAGAAUGACUUCCAAAAUUGAGAUGUAAAUUGAGUGUCCUUAUCUAAAAUAAUAGAUAAUGGGACCCCAUGAAGAUGGGCUAAUUAACAAAUAUACAACUUAGCAUAAUCCUCUUCUGAAUCUAUAGUAUUGAAAGGCAAGAAGUCAGCAAAUUUAAUCAAUCAAUCUAUUAUCACUCAAAUAGAAUUGUGCUGAUAAUGGGUGCGGAGUAAGAUGAUAAUGAAGUUCAUAUUAUUGUUUCUCAUUUCCACAUAGGAAUACUAAUAUAAUGAGCCUUACCGCCAGGCCUUUAAUGUUCUACCUUCACUCGCUAAUAAUUAGGAUACUUUGCCAUAAAAUUCAUAAUGUCCUUUUUCAUACCACUCCACCAAAAGUUUUUUCUCAAAUCAUAAUACAUUUUAGUAGAACCUCGGUGAAUCCAAUACCUAGAAUUAUGAGCCUUGGAAAAUAUACAUGCUCUCAACCCACCUAUAUCGAGUGCAAACAACCUACUUUAGUAUAAAAUAAUAACACCUUCCCCAUAGGAAAAGACUUUAACUUUCUGUUUAUGGACUGCAUCCUUCAAUUAAAGUAAUAUAGGUACUAUCUUGCUUUUGUUUUACCUUAAUCACAUACGAGGACUCAUAACCACUUUGAACAAAGACACCUUCAUUAGAAUCCAUGAGACAUACUCCAAAUAGUCCAUGUCUAUGCCCCUCCUUCACAAUUUCCUUCUUAUAUUUUUCUACAUGGGAAACAUUCCCCAUAAUCAACCUAGCAAGAGGAUCAACUACAUUAGCCUUACCUAGGUGGUUCAAUAAACUUAUAUCAUAAUCUUUGAGAAGCUCAAGCCAUCUCUUCUGUCAAACAUUCAGCUUCUUUUACGUGUAGAUGUAUUGAAAACUCUUAUGAUCUGUAAAGACAUCAAUAUGCACACCAUAGAGAUAAUAAUGUUAAAUUUUCAAAGCAAAAACUAAAACCACUAACUUAAGAUCAUGAGUUGAACAAUUCUUCUCAUGAACCUUGAACUUCCUAGAAGCAUAGACAAUCACCUUACCAUUCUACAUUAAAACACAAACAAAUCCAACUCUGGACGUAUUAAAAUACACUAUAAACUCAUAUGUACCCUAUGGAAGGAUUAUAACUAAAGCAAUAGUAAUCUAAGCCUUCAACUUUUAAAAACUCUUCUCACAAAUUUUAGACCACUAAAAUUUCACCUCCUCCUGAGUCAGCCUAGUUAGCAGAACUGAAAUAGAAGAGAAAUCCUACAUGAAUCUCCUAUAAUAACCUAUUAAACCUAAGAAACUCAUAAUAUCUAAUGGAUUCAUCGGUCUAGGUCAACUUUGACUGCCUUAAUUUUAUGAGAGUAACUUAUAAUCCCUUACUAGAAAUAAUAUAAAAAGGGAAAACAACUGACUUCAACAAAAAUUUACACUUAUAUACUUCAUAUACAACUGUCUAUCAUGCAGAGUCUGAAGAAUAAUUAUCAGGUGGUCAACAUGUCAUUCUCACCACAAGAGUAAAUCAAGAUGUCAUCUAUAAACAAAAUGGUGAAAAUGUCAACAUAUAAUAUGAAAACCUAAUUUUAGCUGUUCUUUUAACUAUUUUAACUCAGUUGGGGCCAUUUUUAAUGGAAAAAUAUAGAUAGGUUACAUAUCAAUAAUGACGCUAUCUCAAAUUCUAUUUCUCUAUCGGGAAGGACUCUAAGAAGAUUUGUUCGCAUCUAUAACAAUCUUCUCUACCAUUAUACACUCAUCAGGAUGAUUCAUCCAUAAUUAUAAUAUAUAGGUUAAGCAAUGUUUCCCCUACAACACUAUCCUACAAACGAGAGCCUUGCAUCUUAACCUACUAAUUAUACAUAGACUUAGGUGUAGACAUACUAGCUGAAGACAAGACUAGUCCACAGAAUUCUUCUAAAAGAAGGAUCAAUUUCCAUUACCUGCCUUAGGCUGACUAAACUCAUUGCAUAAUGUUCUGGCAUUUUUGUUAUAAAAUUUCUCCAUGUCCUUUAAUUUGUCCUCCUUAGUAUGCCUGUUGGAUAUAUUCAUUAGCUUGGUAAUAAACAAGUUGUUUUACCUUCUUAUAUGAAAGACUGCCAAGUCCAUGAUCAAACAAACUUAUCCUAUUCCUCAAAUAAACGAAAAUUUCUAGAACGUCAUACUCCCCCACUCUCAUAGAACCUUUCUCUAAGGUAAGAAACCCUCUAAUAUUUAUCUCUCUUAGCUCUUAGGGAAANNNNNNNNNNNNNNNAGAAGACCCAAGAAAGCUUCAUCAAAUAUCGUCUAAUUUAGAGGGGCAGUACACCCACCCAUACUCUUGUACCACCGAUUAAAUAAUUUCUAAUAAUAUUUUUAAGUUGGUAAGCAAAAAAAUCAACACUCUCAACUGCAUUCACAUUCAUCAAACAUAAUUCUUUGGACUUUGUCAAUAAAAUUCUCUGGAUCCUCAUCUAUCUUAGACCUAAAGAACUAAGGUGGAUUCGUUUUGAAAAACUCAUGAAUCAUGAUAGUGUCUGAAACACCCCAUGACUUUUAGAUAAAUUUGGAUAAGUAUCCAAAUACCUAUCCAUGAACCCACACCCAGUAAGGCAUAACCCUAAAUCCCAUCUAUAUCUAAUUAUUUCUAGCUUUGAAAUAGUACUCGCAAGACAACAAUAUUGUUAAAUCUAAAAAUGUUCAAAAUGCAUCAUAUCAAAGAUGGAUUCAUCUUGAAAAAAUCCUAGUUUCUUGCUAAUAUUCCCCAAAUGCAUUAUAUCUAAAAAACAACCUCAGGAACUUGUAUAUUUUCCUUGUUGUAAGCAUCGAAAGUGCUAUAUUUCUAUAGCACAUCAACACCCUCAACUUAGAAUGUUUGCAUGUCCUCGGUAACACAACAUAAAAAAACACGAUGCUUAAUUAGGAGAAUCUAAGCUAUUCAAGGUAGUCAAUCAGCACCUUAAGCUCAAAACAUAACACCCCUCCUAUCUCACUUUUCAAAACCAACUAUGUAUAAACAUGAAGUAUAACAAUGUGAUAUAAUGGGAUCAAGGUAUGUCAUUACAUUAGACUCAGAAAACCAUGCAUAUGUACAAGUUACACUACCCAAAUACAUAGACGGAUAGAAAGAUGACUCUUGUGCCCUCAUAACAAAGAUGUCGUACUCAUUCAUAUGAAAUAAUGUUUGUCAAUGCAGGGACAAUCAACACUUAAAAGAGAAGUUACAAUCAAUGUGCAGUAAAUACCAUAGGCUUGCCCUUAUUUUCUUUACCCUAGGUUUUAGAUAGUCAAGUUAGGAUCGCUAUAGGACUUUUAUCGGCUUGUAAUGUGGAUUUUUUAUCCCACCCUUAUUUCUCCCUUUUUAUUUUUUAUUGCACAUUCAGGUUGAGUGUGAUCUUUUAUUCUUUCUUUUUCACUUUUUUUACAAUUUUUCUUUUCUUUUUUUAUUUUUCUUUUUUCUUUUCUUUUCCUUUUCUACCACACCCAGCCCUACUAAAUUUUUCUCUUAUUUUACCCUUCUACAUACCCACUUUAUAUUGCACACACCUAUGAUAUCCACCCUCAACUUAGGUGAUUUUCUUGAGUUGAGGUGCAUAAUGUCCAUGGAUGAACAAGCCAAAACAGGUUAUUACAGCACAAAUAGGAAGGUGGAUGGUGAAAUAAGAAAAAUAGGAUAUAAGGCUCAAACAUAGGGACAAGCGAUACAAGUUCACAUAAGGAAGGACAUUUUGGCUAAAAGUGGACUACAAUAAAAAAUGGAUGGUCCUUUCCUAUUCGACUAUCCUACAACCUGGGUGAGACUAAUCGGGCAAGUUCUAAAUUCAACACAUAAAGGCAACUAAGUAUUAUAUCACACACAUAUGGCAUAGAGUCAAUAUUAAAACCUACUACCUAUCUGGUUUAUGAAAUUGUUAGAAAGUGAUUAUCAUGUCCCUAAUCCUAAUGUCAUAACAAGAUCCACAAUAUUCACACAUAUAUACAUUCAUACAAUUCUAAAAUUUUUUAAGGGGGAUAUCAUUUUACUUAAAAAUCAAAUAACAAACAUAACUACCCUAAAUACCUAAAAAUAUCCUAAUUAUACAAAAAUACAACACAAUCCAAAAUGAAACACAAUACGAUGUAAAUUUUAUGAUAUGUUAAUUCUACAACUAUACCGUAGAUGAUAGGAAAAAAAGCACGACAAUAAAAAUCUACGACGGUUAUGGUAUACCCCACCCCCACGUAAAAACUAUUCACUGUCCCCAAUGCAUUAAAAUAAUAUAAAAUUAAGGAAAUGAGGAUAUACCUGGGAUGUAUUAAGCGUUCAUGUUAGGAGCAUCCUCAAAUGGAGGCAUAUCAGCUGGCGGAGGCAGUGGUGGUAGCGGUACACUACUAGAAGAUGCACCUACUACUAUCGCUGUAUGUCUCUGCCUCUCAACAACUAUAGAAUCUAUCGAAUUAUGUCUGGCCUUUUCAAAGGCCUGAUCAAAUGGCAUAUCUGGAUCCUGUAGGUUUUCCAUGUGUCCUCUCUUGUCCCCAACUAUUAGGACCUCAUCGUUAUCCUCUGGGAAGAAACCAAAAUAUCUGGGUAUGAACAGAGGUGAUAUUUAGACUACUGUAGGUAUGAUUAAAGGAAUGGCUACCAUAUGGCUCUCUGUGAGAGAGUAUACCUCUACUCAUAAUAUAUCCACCUUCUCUCUCAUCUAGGCUAGAUUCAACAUCUCUAUAUCUGUAAGUAGGGUAUUAACCCAUCUCUUAAAAGCAUCAAUACAUCCAUGUAAAUCAAUAUAUAGCUUAGACAUGGAAUCUCUCUAUACGGCCUCCCAUAUAGCCUCUACCAUCUCAAAUCUAGUCCGAACCCUUAAAUGCAUCUACCCAUGUAGAGCGGUCAUCUCGAUCUCAACAACCUGCAAUUGAGCGUCAGUAGCCCUUUGACUGUCCAUUAAGCUCUAUGAAAACUCUUAAAAUAUCAUAAUUAUACAUAUUGUAGGAGCUUCAGUAGAUAGGAGAGUAGGUUUUAAAGAUACACCAACAAGCUCUAAGGUCGAAGUCGGGGCUGAUGAAGAAGUGGUUGGUGUCCCCUCGCCCUGAGUACUCAAAUCUGGGGCCCCUUUCUGCUUCUCUAUCUCAAUGUCAACACUAGCUCCCAUAUCACCUAAAUGUAUAUCAGGCUCCAUGGAAACUAAUUAGCCCUCAGUUUAGGCUCGAGGUAGUACGAUAGGCUUACUAGAUCUCCUGGGAAUGGCUGUACAUGUUGUAUACUUCAUACUCUUCAUUUGUGUUAUAGCUGUCACAAGUAUCCUCUCAUCUACUCUUGGUAUCUUAGGUAUACCAGCCUCUUCAUAUAAUCUCUGAAUCAAGCAGGGGAAAGGAAAAUUCAUCACCUCCCCAAAAGCUCUAUCAUGAAUCUCAUAACAAAGGAUGGCUGCAAAGUCAAUAGCAUAUCCGACCAUCAAACUAGCUAUCAUGGCUGCUCCUUUCAAAGUCAACAUAUUAUCUGAAGCUAUAGGGAAUAAUUGAUAUUGAAUAAGCAACAACCAAAACUUGGCAUCAUAAGUUAGAGAACCCUUCUUUAUCACACCAUGUCCCUCGAUCCAUGAGUUUUCAUCACCCAAAAGUUAAAUAUAGUUGGCUACCUACCUAGCCAUCUCAACUCUCUCUCGCUAUGAUCAGCCUCCCACAUAAUGUAUCUAUCACGUGUGACUCUUAGUCUGUAGUCACACUCUACUAUGGAAGCGGGAGUAAUAUAGUCUGGACUAAAAAUAACCCGACAGAUAGUCUCUGCUAAAAUAUCAACCCCGACCCCUCUCACAAGGGUUUGAUCAAGCUGUGACUGCUCUAUGUGUCUCAUUCGUCCUAGAAAUUUGCACAUCAAAAGAACUAUGGUGGCAUGAUAUGGUUCAUAAAACUCUCACACCAUAGUCUGGAUGUAAGAAUUAAGUGGUCUAGUUAUCCACUCUAACUAAUAUCAAUUGAAAAAAACCUGCAACUGUGGUACUUGACUCAGACCAGAUAGAUCUAUCCUGCACUCCUCAAAUAUAAGCCUCUUGGAUCUUCCAGCCUCUGAAAUGCAACUGUCUAUAUCAAAUAUCUUUUGCAUUCCCUCCACACACCACCUCAAAUUUUCCUUCUCAAGAGGUGCCUUUGAGGAAUGUGUGGGUGCAGAACUCUACCCCUACUAUACUGUUGUACCCUCAUUUGGAAUAGGCAUCUCAUGGAAAGCCUGCUCUAUACCCUUCUUAGACUGGGGUACAUCUAAUUUUUUUUGCAUGAACUAUGGUACCCUCCUCAUACUGAGGUACCGCUAAUAACUCCUCCUACUCUGCAGCUUCGAAUGAAUCCUGGGUCUCCUCCUCAGACUGGGGGUCCUAAUCUACUUUCUGUGGAUCUAGCUUAGAAUCUGCCUCAUCUGAUCAUCUGGUAGAAGAAAAUAUAGAGGUGAUCUCUAUGCUAACUGCAUCCUUGAUUGGGAUAAAUUUUCCCAGAUAACCUCGACAACCUGUAUAAACUCGGUCCUAGACCUGGGUCUAAUGAAAUUUGGUGUCUCCUUCACUAUGAAUGUUCAGGUAGCAUUUGUCCUAUAAUGCUCAUUAAAAUUGUCUUGGCUACCUAGCAUUUCUGUCCUUUUGUCACUCUGCAUGUCACACCACCUGCAACCUCUCUAAGUAGUGUAAUCGGGCACUUCUCCACUAAACCACUGGGCCAGGGGGACUCAUCUGUCUACUCAUUGUCUUAGACUUCUUCUUAGCAACUUUUGGUGCUAUAUACACCUAGAAUAUGUGGGACUCUUGACCUUGAUGGGUUUAUCACAUAAUCCCCUUACCUGGAAAUUUAUGCAUGUAGUACUUAUCGUAUUUUGGGUAAGUCCAUAAGCUAUAAACCUACAAAAGAAAAACAAACACAAACUGAACACUAAAAUGGUGGGUUGCCUCCUACCCAAUCCUUGAUUUAACAUCGUAGAAUGAUGUGGCUGUGUUGGUUACAAAGACUUCACCAACAAGCCCAUGGGUUGCCUUUCAUACAGUGGGUGAUUUAAUAUUGUAGCACGAUGUAGGUACCUUGAUUACUUAAAAUUCAUUGAGGAACCCAUAAGAGUCCCCUCCAGGGUCAUCAAUACAAUCUAUCACUGAUACCACCAUAAAGUUGGUUGGCCAUUUCAUUGAUUUUCAGAUGCUGAAUGUGGCCUCUACUCCAUUGAAUCUUAAUUUUAGCUUUCUUUUCUCUAUGUAAGCCAUUGCUCUACACAUGGCCAUAAAUGAUCUCCCUAAUAUGAUGGGCUUCUUGUUGUCAACCUCACAGUCCAAAAUAACAAAGUCAGCCAGAAAGAUAAAGUUAUCAACUUUCACAAUCACAUAAAUAAAAUUCCUAUAGGUUUCUUCACCAUACGGUCGGCCAUCAAUAGCCAUAUUGCACUCAAUUUAGGAGGGCUCAAGCUUAAUUACUUUAAUACAGCCUGUGGUAUCAUAUUUAUAUUGGAUCCUAGGUCACACAAAGCUUUGGAGAAUCGGGAUGACCCAAUGGGGAAUGGUAUAGUGAAUGUUUUGGGUUCACCUUUUUUUAGAGUAGAGACCUAGUAGUGACUGCACUAUAGUGGUGCAACCAUCAACAUCCUCAAUUGUAGCUCCUUUGUUCUUUUUAACAAAUUUCUUCAUAAAUCUGGCAUAUCCAGGAAUUUGCACCAACACCUCAAGAAGAGGAAUAUUCCAGCUUAACUCUUUAGUAUCUUAAUGAAUUUCUUGAAUUUCCCUUUCUCUCUUUUCUGUUUUAGUUGUUGAGAUAAAGGUGGGCUGGUCUUGGAAAUUAUCGUAUUUUCUUCUCAACAACUAAACCCUUACCUAUUUCCUUACCAACUAUAUCAUCAUCACCUAUUGCCUUUUUUGACUGCAUAAUAAGUAUCUCAUCAAUAGCAGUCUCAUCAUGUCUUAGAGCUUCCUGACAGGUAAUGAGAGAUCCACAGUAGUACUACCGAUCCUUAUGGUAAUGGCAAGAACAUGACCAUUGUUUUUCAAAUUUUACAUAGUAUUACUCGGAAGGGUACCUGGUUGCCUCUAGUUUAGAGUUGUUGACGUCUGUCCGGAUUGUGGCUCCAACUGAUUGAUCGCAGUGGUAUGAGAUUCAACUUUCUGGGUCAACCCUGAAAUACCAGCCUUAAUCUCUUUAAGGCUGAUCUAAUGAUUUUCUUGUCCCUUUACCAGCUUAGUCAGCAUCUCUUCCAUUCUUAAUUCUGCAUCUCUUCUGGUAGGUGAAAUGUACCGAUCGUCCUUCGCUCUAUAGUCAUCCUUCUUCUUUCAGUCACUACCUGGCUUCUUACCAUGGUCUUUACAUUUGUCAUAAUAGUUUAGACCUUGGUUCUCUUUUCCUUGGGAUAGAAAGCCCACCAACUGACUGUUAUGAGUCGAACCAGGGCAUAACCAUGACGAGUAUCUCAAGUCCAACAUGGAUCGAAGAUCACCCUUGCACCUAACCAAACCAAGCAUGGCACACCCUAAUGUCUAAUGAAUUAUGAACAUACAAAAAGAUAUCAUGCAACGAUCUUAAGAAAAUUAAAAACAAGUCCAUAACCACCAACCGACGACUAGCCAAGCAACCAACGAAUACAGCCAAAAAAUGACAGUAGUCUAAAUAAAGCCUUUUAAAUAAAGGACCAAAAUAGAAUAUCAAUAAAGUGUCAGGACAAGCCCCCGGCUAUAGCCAAAAAUAAGUCUAAGCAGUCUGAACUUAAGAGACCAAAACAUGAAAUGUGGUCUUUCAAUAUAUGAAAGCUCUCCACUUCAAUGUUAACUCGCUAGCUAAUCAUAAAUCCUAUUCACUGAGCAGGAGAAGUAGAAGUAUAGAAUCGGAUGGGAAUACAACAUGUGUAGAUGGUUAGCGGUUGGAGCGCUAGCAUGUAACUCGAGGAUAAAGGUAACAUAAUGACAUGAUCAAUAAUUCAAAAAUCAUUCAAAACUAAUGCAUACAAUCAAAUGCAUAAACACACACACACAUAUAUGUGUAUAUAUAUAUCAUAUACCGGGAUAGGGAACAAUGCUUAACAUUAAUGUUUAAAACCUUAGACUGGAUUGUGUAGCUCCACCAUCAUAACAUACAAGGCACCCACGGGCUAUAUGAUCCCAACUCUCUCCCAACUGGUAGGGCCCUAGUGCGUGUGGCCGCACAAACCAGAGGAUAAACUAUACACUAUGGGGGACUCAAACCUCCCUCCAUAUUAAGGUGACAUGAGCACCAAAUCAUGUAAUAAGAUGUGGGGGACUCAAACCUCCCAAUCAUAUAAGAUUGAUAAUAAUAAUGGGGACUCAAACCACUCAGACAUAUAGACCCCGCACCAGCAAUUACGAUUUCCAGUGAUGGUCACUCAGAUUUCCACUUUCAUAACUCAACUACACAACCCUCUUUAAAGCCAAAUUAAAACAAUUAUCAUACAAUCCCAUUUAUUGAACCAAAAUACAUAUUUAGGCAUACAUUGUUGGUAUCAUUAUACCAACUACACUUGUAAGAAAACACAUCAUGCCCAAGCAAUUUCAUUAAUUAGGGCAUUCACAACCCCUCUUGGUUCAAUUAUGCAAUAGCUUUUGAAAGCAUCAACCCAUAAGGUUCAAUUCAACACCUUAAUGCAAUAGUUCCAGAAUAGUUAAAUUCUCAUAUUUCUCAUAACUAAAAUAAUUUCACAAUAUGGGGUUAGGUCUAUAAUCAUUUCAAAAGUCACAAGAUUGGGGGAAAUCACAAUUCCUAAGAUGAUUCACUAUACCCACACACCCAUAAUUCAAAACCAUAUUUAAAGCAUGAGUAGUGCAUAAUAAAACCAUGAGAAAUCAAUUAAUUGACCAUUCAUGUCAAAACCCUUACUUUUAAUCACGUAAAUAACCAUGAAAUCUCAUGAAAAAGAGAUAUUAAGUUUAAGGGUAGAGUCACAUGCCUAAAAUAUUAAGUUUCAGGAGAGAGUUUAACUCUAGAGCCUUUAGAUGACCAAUUUGAUGAAACCCUAGCUUAACUUGCUUGAGGGAAUUCGGAGAGACUGUUGGAGUGUUUAAGAAGUUACUUAGAUUAUUUUUGAGUGCUAAUGACAUCCUAAAAGGGGUUAUAAGACGUGGGUUUUAAUUUGGAUAAAAGGGGAAAUGUCUAGAAUGCCUUUAACUUAAAUGCUGAAAUAUGCCUCCUUUGACUACGGGUCAACCCUUAACUCGUAGCCACUCCUUAAGACUUUUCACCAUGAGUUGUAACCAAGAAAGUACCACUAAAGUAACCUACAUUGUAUUUCUUAUGACUCAAUGGCAUGACUCAUAAUAGGACCCUACACUCGUAGGGUCUAGUCAUCGUCAACACAAAACCUAAAUUAAGACUUACAAUGGACAUCGUACGAUUACACCAAACAAAAUAUAUCCUUGUGACACAUUGUGAGAAACUCAUACUCAGAGCAUAAUCAAGCCACAAACUUAUUGAUUUGGUUGUGAAUCAUCCCAAUGACUCGUCAGGACACCCUACGACUCAUUGGGUCCAGUCGUAACCAGGGCAGUGAGUGUAAAAUCUCAGGAAUUCCAAGGACCCAAAAAUAUGGGGAGUUAAACUGAUGAUCCAGAUAGUUUUCUUCAUCCUUUAAUUCUUACUCGUAAGCUUUGAAAUCUGAACCCUAUGCUCCUACUGCAUUCACUUUCUCAGAACUUGCUACUGCAAACUGCUUCGCCAAUAGCCCAAGAUCUGUUCGUAGUAUUCUAAUCUCUUGUGAUACUGAAUCAUCAACUACUUUUUGUUCAAAAGAGCCACCAAUAACAUAUGUGCUAGAUUCCCUCUCAUCCUCCUGAGUUUUCUACCCUAGGUUAGUGAGUGAGAUCUGAUCUAGUAUCUUCAAAGCUGCCUCUUACUAUAAUAUAAUAAAAGCUCCUCCAGAGAUGGUAUCUGCCAUGGUUCUGGAACUGAUGGUUUGGGAUCUAUAGAAUAUCUCCAAUAGGCUCAUCCCUAACAUCCAAUGGUUGGGCAACAUACUCAGUUUUUUGUUGAAUCUAAACUAUGCCUCGUACAAAAAUUCUGGCUGUAGCUGCCUGACAUUAUAAAUCUUAUCUUUGAGCUAUAAAAUCCUAAAUAGAGGAAAGAACCGUUUUAAAAAUUACUUACUCAACUCAUUCUAUGUAGUGAUAGAUCCUUAUGGCAGUUCUGCAAACCAUAAAGAUGUUUCUCCUGUAAGUGAGAAGGGAAACAACCUCAGUCUAAGAGCUUCCUAAUUUACCCCUAGAUUUGUAUACAAACUGCAAAUCCCAAUGAAAUUUACAAGGUACAUAUUUGCAUCAUCAUAAUGCAAACCCUCAAAUACACCCUUUAGAUUUAAGAUUUGGAACAUUACGCUUGUUAUGUCAAACUUAAUGCCUGGGAUAAAAUCGAUGGAAUAAGGGCUGUAGUCUCUAUUGGCUUGACAAAUCCUAGAUCUUCUUCAUCAUCCAUGUGUAGAUACACAUACUGAUAUACUGGGGGAUCACUUAAGGACGGCCUUCUCAAACUCCAUUCCAAUUUCCACUGAGUACUGCUCGGUGAUCUACUUCUUAUCUCUGCUCAGCUUAUUCUACCUCCUGAGCUAUCCGUUGAGCUUCUUCUGCUGCCCUAAUCUCAUUAGUAGCUUGUGAUAAAAUCACCCAUGUCUACUAAUCAACAAUAUAUAGUAAUCUUUUUGGAUGAGAGAGAGGCAAAUCAUCUCAAACCCCUUCAGGAAAAUCAUCUAUUUUCUGUUCCAUCAUCUUACUAGGUAUUUGUAGGAUCUUUUUUGGAUUUGAAUUCAAUGGGAGUAAGGGACUUCCUCUACUUUGAGUGCUAGGAAUACACUAGUGUAUACCCAACUAAGAACAAAUUCAAAAAGACCCAAAAAUUGCAACAACUUCAAUUCAUAAAUUAACAUCGUAUUCUCGGUAAUGGCUCCAAAAUUUGAUAAUGCCCAAGCUACACCUUUACUCUAAAGGUUAUGCGGUCACUGUCAAAUAUAGUAACCCAAAAAAGGUGGGGGUCGAACCCCAAGGGAAUAUGUUGAAUCGUGGCUCUCAAAUAUUGUAAUCAAUAGGCAAAACUGGAAAAGUAAAUGGAGGGAUUUAAGUAGCACUAUCGAACAAGUGGUGAAUAUCAACUUCAAUUGUAAUAAGUUGUAGGUGAACACUAAGAUUGGGUUUCCCUAGAAUUUUAACUAUGUAGGCUUAUCGUGCUUUAUUGAACUAACCUGAUACCUUGCAUACAGAAUCUGAUAAGUUAUGUACCAUAAACAGUCUUUUAGAUAAGCUGACAGAUUUAACCCUUUACCUUUUGAGUCUCAAGAUGUCGCUUUACUAACCCUUAUAUUUAUCCCAGUUAACUAUUACCUUUUGAGUCUCUAGUUAUUAGAUGGCAGCUAACCAUCUUCCUAAGAGAAUACCUAGUAGCGUUGAUCGAUAGCUAAACUUCAAAUUACUGUUGUCAUUAUCUUCUCCGAGUCACUACUCCUCUUUUGGAGUAAGUAGCAAUUAUCUAAGAAGGAUCCUAAUCUUGCAACCGCUAAGAUAACUAUUAUAGUGAAUAUAAUACAAUGCAUACAUGGGUAUUGGUUUAGAACAAGAAUAGCCCUUCUCCUACUUCGUCAAUUCAUCGAGGUUUUCAUAAUCCUAGCUAAGGAUUUUUAGUCACUCGUGCUUGUGAAGUAAUCGAUAACAUUCAUAAUUGAAUGAAUAAGAAGAAUUCACAAUAAUCACACGUAAAACCCCAAAAUUUUAAGUUAAUUAAUCAACCGAAAUCAAUACAAGAGAAUUCCAAGACCAAAAUUGAAUCUCAGAAUCAAAAUAUGUUUUUAAGUAUCAAGAGUUUGUAAUUUCUAUUUAAAAGCAUAUAAGGGGUAUUUAUAGUACAUGAGGAAACCUUAAAAUGAAAGCCCAGACGAAAAAAGACAAAAAGGGGUUGGUGGCCACAUGUGGUGUCCAUAUGCGGCCUGGCCUUGGGCGCAUGUGUGACAUGCGAUCUGAGGCUGGGUGCAUGUAGACACCUACAUGUCCAGAAAAAAUUCUUGCAGCUUCUGCUCUUUAGAUUUUGGACUUUUGGCACUUACCUUACACAUAUGUGGCCCACAUUGCUACAUGUGGUCCACAUGUUGACAUAGGUAAGUGCCGGAAGUUAUUUUUCAGUUUUUUUACUCUCGGGAUGUCCAAUUCCGAUAUUUACCUUAAUAUGACAUAUACCAUAUGUGCUUCAUGUGGUACACAUGUAGACAAAGGUAAGUUUCAGGACUUCCAACACUUGUAACCAAGCUUCAAAUCUUCAACUUUGAUCACAUGCUUCGGUCACGAACAUCCGAAAAAAGCCAUGGAUACACAAAAUAGAUCAAAUAAGUAGCCAAAACACCAUUUUUUUUAUCUUUUUCACGAACUCAGCAUCCAAAACCUAGUUUCCUGCAAAUAUACCAAAAAAGCAUCAUAUCUAAUAAAACAACCUCAGAAACUUGAAUAUUUUCCUCGUUUUAAGCAUUGAAAUUACUAUAUUUCUAUAGCAUAUCAAUAAUACAAUAAUCAAUAUUUGAAUUCAAUAAAUCUUGUGGUAUAACCACAGAUUUCUCACUUGAUAUAACUCUAAUAUUUUAAGCGUAAUAAAAGUACAAGAAUGGUGGAAAAAAGCUAAGAAACCCCUUUUGAAUCCUAAAUUCAAGUUUGCUUGAAAUUAUAAAAAUGCCACUACGUUGAUGACCUAGUGGAAAGUGCCAGUGUUGGUGGUUGAAGUGCACGUACAGGUCCCAUUGGUUCUUCAUUUUGGCCACCUUCUACACAGGUGCCUCAGGUGUGUGCGCGAGUAGUCUCCCGGCAUGCCUACGUAAAACUUUAUGCUCCUUUUCUUUUGUUUUUUCACCUACCAUUAACUUGAAUGACUUGAUCAUCUUUAUUUUCAAUCUUGAACUACACAAAUAAGCAUUAUACAUGAUAUUAACACCAAAUUAAUGGGAAAAAAAUGAUAAUUUAAUCUUGAAAAGUGCUCACAAGUCGUCAAUUUGAUGACUAAAAGUUCUAAAACUUGGGUUAUUUAGAACCCAAGUUCACUCGUUGCUAUAUAGUACUCGCAGAACUAUUUUUAAAAUAAUAUGCUCAAUAAUGAUUUAAAAUCACUAUUUAUCUAUUAAAAUGAUUGAAACUUUACCAAAAUUUACAUCUUGAAAAUUAUCAACACUUCACCCUUCUAGGGGUUUACUUUGUUUUCUAUGAAUAUCUGAAGUGACACUAUACAUCUAAUUUCAUGCUUUAAAAUAUAAAUAUCUACAUUCAUAUACAAUUUCAUGUCAUAAUUUAAAAGAUGAUAAAUAAAUCUUUUCUUUUCAUGAAAAUUAUUUCAAUGUUCAUAAAGACAAAAACCAUAAAUAAAAACCAAGAAUAUAAUUCAAGUAACAUAAGGAUUAAAGAUAGAUUUUGAAACCCUGACUAUGUUAUACAUGGAGGUGAAUGGAACAUCCAAUUAAAGUCCUAUAUUCCUAAUUGGGGAGAUUUACGAUUUUGAAACAUUGAAAAUUUUAAGCUUUGAGAAACCCUCCUAUUAUAUUCUCGACUUUGGGGAAAGAUAGAUUGAGAACCAAUUUAUAUAUUCUAAGUAUUUUUUAGGUUGAAUUUGGGGAUUAUAGAUGGGUUUGGGAAGUUACCAAAAAGUGAAAUGACUAGAUUAUCCUUAAUUUUAAAAGGAGAAACAAAAUCAUUACUCGUUGGACUGAGAUAUGGACACACCAAAAGAUAAACCAUUGAAUUAUCUUUCCAACGCCACUAGUCUUGCUUAGUCUGAGGUUGUAGUAAAAAGUGGUGGAAAAACUUCUAAGGCACUAUCAAACUGCCAGUGACAACGACUAUAGCAACGACCCAUCGUCAGACACAACGAGUCAUAGUAAAGACUUAUUGUGUUGGUAGUGAGAGACCAAAGAAUUCAUUCCAGUGCCAACGAUUCCAGCGCAUGACUAGUUGUCAGACUAAAGGAGUCAUUGUGUGUGGACCUAUCAUCAUAAUAGUAAGGAACUAAGAAUUCGGCCCCCUUGAUAACGACCCUUCAUGAUGACUCAUGACCAGGCCUAACUACUUGUCAGGAGAGGAGUUAUUAUCAUAAAUGAAAGGACCUAAGGCUCAGGUCCUUAGGUCAGGACUUCAGGCUAUGACUCGUGACCUAACCCAACGAGUCGUAGUCUAAGUCGUGACAACUGUUUCCUAAAAUUUCUUGAAUAUUUUAAAAGGGUCUUUUGGUCUUUUUCCAUUUUUAAUGCCUAAACCAUAUUUUUGGGUUAUUCCCAGACCAGUUAUUGAGGGUUAAUAUUACCCUAACACCUCAUAAACUCAAAAUCAAUCGACAGUUAAUAAAAAGAGGUGUUUUCUCAUCUCUAACAGCAAAGUAGGGUUCCUCAAUUGUAAGCACAACCUCAAAAGAAUUCAUUAAGAAUUUUAUCUCCAGGGAUGUAGGAUUUCAUCAAUGGGUUUCUUCCAUCCAUUGUGUUUCAAUAACUUCUCAAUUCCCAAGUUUUAGGUUCUGGGUCAAAUAUGAGUUUUAUUAAUUUCCUUAAGUUUAAUCUUUUAAAUAAACUAUGAGUACAUGUUUUCCAUAAGAGUACCAUAUUCCCAUACCCAAGAUCAUGAAUUUUCCUUCUUAUUGAUCAUUCAUUGAGUUUUGACUUGAAUUAUUAAAUUCCCUAUUUGAUCAUCUUUUAAUAACACCAUGUUUAGUUGCAAUAGUCUAAGCUUGUGGGUUAUUAACACCUGAUACCUAGGGAUUCAUGCAUAUAUCAAUUACAUCUAUUUAAUCACUUCAGAGUAUCCAUUGGUGAUACUUUCAGAAUGAGAUCAUGAUGAGCAAUUCAAUUUAUAGUUCAAUGUCAUUCAGUUGGGAGUAGCACUUAGCACCGAGUGGAUGUAAGAUACUAGUAGCCUUCUAACUGGGGUUACAGGUUGGACCUUGAUUUUCUCAGAUUGAGGUAUGUGGAUUUUGGUUAGAUAGCACAGUCCUCAGUUCAUGUUUCCAUUUAUGUUUUAGUUCAGAUUAUGAAUGACCUUGUAAUGUUAUUGUCACGAUCUGAGGCUGCCCCCUAGUGGCGCAACGGUGCUUACGGUCAUAAUUGACCACAAGCUAACCCAUGAGUUGUUACCAGCUGUGAGCACUGAGUAAUAUGGUAAUAAAAACAUGUACGCGGAAGAUAAAUGAAUAAGGAAAAGUCACUAUGAAUAUUGAAAGAAUAUUCAAUGACAAGUCUUUAAACAUCUAAUAAAAAUACCGAAAUGCAACUGGCAAUACUGAUAAACUGACUGGCUGUCUAACUGAGUAUCUAAAUGUCUAAAAAUCCUCUAACUGACUGACUGUGGAGUUGAUGGAAAAUACCCCCAACUAACUCCUAUUGACUAAGUAAAAAAAUGAUAAAAUAACUAAAUAAAAGAUAAACUUUUCCUCGAAGGAUGAGGACUCACCACUGAUAUUGCUGCUAUAACGCUGGACGGUCUAGGUACAAUCAAGAAAUUGAACAUCCAAACCUCUGAUAUUAAACAUCAUAGCACAAAGAAGAGAAUAUGAUCAGUACUUUGAAUGUAUUGGAAUAUGAGAUGAGGUUAGGCUGAAAUAUUGGGCUAACUGCACAUGAAAUAAUGCUUGAUUGAAUAGCAAGAGAUAACUGAACAUGAAUGCAUACAAAAUUGAGAUAUUUCUGAAUUCAAGGCCAAGCAUAUAAUAUUUCUGAAAUAAUCUAUAAACUAAAAUACUUAAAUCUUAUGACUGAAUAACUAGAAAUCUGUAUGUCAUGGUCAAACAAACCUGAACUGAAUUCUAUACUGUAAACUGUACUAAGACUGUGGGAGGUAUCAUCAAGCUGACAUGCCCCAUUUUAAACUAAUCAGGGUCAAACCUGUAACCCCAAUUAGAAAGGUGUCAGUACCAUGCCAUAAGUACUAACACUGGUUGACGAUGUGGAUCCACAAGGCUGAUGUCCCGAAGAACUAAAGAGUAACCCUAUAUUAGCAGGUGCUCUUAUGAGAUAUAUGUCAACCCUAAAAUAGUAGAAAGACAUAUCAAACCUAUGAUGGCUACAUAGUUUGGUAACUCAGGGAAUGCUACUAAGGGUCAAACCUUAAACUAGCAGGAAUACCGCCAUCCCUGGGUUCCCUGGGUUCUGUCCGUGAUGAAUCCUACUCUCAACUGAAAGACACUUAUUUGUAAACAUAACAGAGUUUAAUGAGCAAACAAAAUGAUCAUAAUAAUUGACUGAAUGACAAUGCUCAUGGUUUAUCUGAAAUCAUUCUGAAGAUACUGAAAUUAUGUAAGAAAUUAGGUAAUUGUAUUAUAACCCACCAACACUGAAUGGAAAUAACAAAAAGGGACAUAUAAGAACUUUAUAAAGCUUAAUAGGAAAUCACUAUUUGAAACCCAUCACUUAGGCAUUUCAUCAAAUACAUGGAGAUCAAGACUUUGAAAUGAGGAUGUUUUUAAACAUAAGGAGAUAUCAUGAUUACAUGAAAAAAUCAUAAAUUGAGGAUUUAUUCUGACUCGCAUAAUCAUGAUAUGGGAACUACAACAUUCAAAACAUACUAUAAUCCAUUCCACUUGAAAACAUAUAUAAACCUAACUUUGAGAUCGAAAUAACAAGGGGUUCAUGGAGAUAAUUAACAAAAUCAUGUAAAAAUUCAUAAUUUAAGAUCAAAAGGGGUUCUUGAACUCCUUAGGUGAAAAGGGCCCAUGGAUGAACAUCACACAUACCUUAAACCAUUAAUCAAGAAAGAGAAACACCAAUCUUGAUAUCUCCUUGAAGGCUCUUGGAUUUGGGAACUUGAAUUCUUAGUUUGCUUGGAGGGAAAGUGAAUAAAUUAAUGAUCUUAAGGGAUGAGUAGGGUUUCUUUGAGGGGAACUGAAGAAGAGGGGAAAAUAACGCCCUAACUGUUGAUAUAAGUCAUGAUUUGAUGAUUUAGAUUGAGGGGAAAAGACAUAAUUGCCCCUCAGGUAAUUAAAUUUGUAAUUGGACUGUGAUUCGCAUGAUCACCGUGAAACGGUGAAAGUGCAAUCGAGAAUUGUACCGCGAUGCGGCACUAUCGCCAUGAGCUACUGGAAUCAUGAUCAAAACAUGACCCAAUCCUCAUCCAAAAUAUUUGAAACUUCUUCGAAACAUUCUCCUUACACUCCUGAACAUAAAUUAACUCAAAAAUCAACAUCUCGGGGUCAGAAACACCCAUAUAAAAAUCCUUGAAGUAAAGUGGCCUAAAAAUUGACUAAGUCCCCAACACUUAGUGAAAUUUGCAAAAUUUAAGGCUUUUAAGCAUGCAAUUUGAAUCCGAACUGAGCUAAGAACAUUAUAGGGUAUUACAAUAUCCCCCUUUAGUAACAUUCGUGCUCGAAUGAGACUGAUUAAGCCGAGAGUUCUGAACUAAGCCAACUGAGAUCACAUACUAAACAUGAAAACUUGGAAACAUGAUUACAUGACUGAGUCUGAAACAUGAUACAUGAACUGAACUGAUUUUGUGAAUGUAUGCAAUGACAUUAGAAUGAUUAUAUAGUUGUAAUAGAGAAUGGAAAAGAGAUAAUCUAAGCAAAACUAUUACCUUAAGUUGAGUCUCAGUUUGCGGAUAAAAGAUGAGGGUACUUGGUACGCAUAGCUGCCUCUGCUUCCCAAGUGACUGUCUCAACAGACUGAUUCACCCAAAGAAUUUUAACCAAGGGAACUUCCUUGUUCCUUAGCCUAUGAAUCUGACGAUCAAGGAUCUCAACUGGAUUUCUUCGUAAGAAAGGCUAUCCUGAACAUCUAUGCUUUAUAAAGGAACUACAAUAGAUGGAUCACCAACAAACUUCUUUAAUAAGGAAACAUUAAACAGCGGAUGCACUGAUGCCAAAUCUGCAGGCAACUCUAGCUCAUAAGCUACCUUACAAAAAUGACUUAAAAUUCUAUAAGGGCCAAUAUAUCAGGGUCUGAGCUUCCCCUUCUUGUAAAAUCUCUUCACUACCUUUAUAGGCGAGAUUUUAGAAUAGAUUAAGUCACCAACAUCAAACUCAAGGUCUCUUCUCCUCACAUCUGUAGAGGAUUUCUAAUGGCUUUGGGCUAUCUUUAGCCUCUCCCUAAUCAACUAACUUUUUCCAUUGCAUCAAACACCAAAUGGUCCUAUCAAAGCCGCCUCACCGGCAUCAAGCCGACCAAUAUGAGAUCUACAUAUCCUCUCAUAGAGAGCCUUAAAUGGAGCCAUCUAAAUACUAGAGUGAUAACUGUUAUUUUAGGCAAACUCGAUCAAAGGUAAGUGAUCAUCCCAACUCUCUUUAAAGUCAAUAACGUAUGCUCUCAAUAUUUCCUCUAUGGUCUGAAUAGUCCUCUCUACCUAACCAUCUGUCUGGUGAUAAAAAGUUAUACUAAGAUGAACUUUGCUACCAAGACCCUUCAAAAAUGCCCUCCAAAAGUAAGAGGUAAACUGAGUAUCUCUAUCUGAAAUGAUAGACAAUGGGACUUCAUGCAACCUAACCAACUCUAUAAUAUAGAUCUUGCCGUAAUCCUUGACUGAAUAUAAAGUAUAAAUGGGUAAGAAAUAGGCUAAUUUGGUCAUUAUUUCUAGAAUAACCCAUAUCAAAUCAUGCUGACGAUGCGUACGUGGCAACCCUAGCACAAAUUCCAUGUUCACCUCGUACCACUUCCAAGUGGGAAUGCAGAACUCUUGUAAUGUGCCGCUAGGCCUCUAGUUCUCAACUUUGACCUACUGAUAAUUAGUACACUUAGCUGCACACUCUAUAAUACCCAACUUUGUACCACUCCACCAAUAGAUUUCCUAUAAAUUGUGAUACACCUUAGUGGCUCCAGGUUGUAUAGAGUAACGCAUACCAUGAACUUCUUCUAAGAUCCUCUGCCUUAACAAAUUAAUAUUGGGAACACAUAUCCUGCCCUAGAAUCGCAACACACCAUCUCCCCCUUGGGAUAAAACCUCUACUUUCUAAUCUCUAACUGAUUCCUUCAACUUAACCAAAUUAGAAUCCAUUUCUUCCUUUUUUUUUCACUUCGGUAACCAAAGAAGAUUCUGAACCAUUCUUCUUAUCAUUCUCAACAUGAGAAACACUACCCAUAGAUAGUCUACUUAGGGAAUCUAUCACUGCAUUGACCUUACUCGGAUGAUACAACACACUCAUAUCAUAAUCCAACAACUUUAACUACCUUCUCUGAUGAAGUUUAAAUAUUUUUGUGAGAACACAUACUACAAACUUUUGUGAUCCACGAACAUAUCAUUAAGAACUUCAUAAAGAUAAUGCCUCUAAAUUUUCAAGGCAGAAACAACAACUGCCAACUCAAGAUCAUGGGAAGGUAAUUCUUUUCAUGGGGUUUAAGUUGUCUAGAUACAUAGGAUAUUCCCUUACCUAUAUGCAUUAACACAUAACCAAGACCAACUCUGGAAGCAUCUAACACAUAACCAAGACCAACUCUGGAAGCAUCAUAGUAAAAAAAAACCUAUCUGAACCAUCUGGCAAAGUCAAGACUGGGGCUGAAGUAAGUUGAUCCUCCAAAUCUUAAAAACUAUUUUCAAAAGAAUUUGACCACUAAAAUUUAACUUUCUUCCAAUUCAAUCGAGACAUGGGGGAUGCAAUAGAUUAAAAACCUUUAAGAAAUAGUUUGUAACAGCCAGCCAAACCCAAGAAACUGCUAAUAUCUGAUGGAGAGAUGGGUCUAGGCUAGUUUUUUACUACUUCAAUCUUUUGAGGCUUAACUCUAAUGCCAUCACUUGAAAUAAUAUGGCCAUGGAAUGCUAUUGAUCUUACCUAAAAUUAGUACUUAUUGAAUUUGGUGAAAAACUAAUGGGCUCUAAGAGUCUGUAAUACAAUUCUAAGAUGGUCUGCAUGAUCAUUUUCACUAAGGGAGUAGAAAAGAAUAUCAUCAAUGAAGACUUUGAUGAACAUGUCCAAGUACUACUUAAACACUCUAUUUAUCAAGUCCAUGAAAGUUGGUGGGGCAUUUGUUAUUACAAAAGACAUAACUAGAAAUUCUAAGUGACCAUAUCAAGUUUUGAAGGUUGUCUUUAGAAUGUCAGAUUUUCUAACUCUAAGCUGAUGAUAGCUGGAUAUGAGUUCUAUCUUAGAAAAAUAACUGGGACCCUAAAAUUGGUAGAACAAGUCAUCAAUUUUGGGGAGUGGAUGUUUAUUCUUGAUUGUAAAUUUGUUGAACUUAUGGUAAUCGAUGCACAUUCUAAGAGAACUAUCUUUCUUAUGCACGAACAAGACUGGAGCACCCCAUAGGUAAACAUUGGGCCUGAUAAAUCACUUAUCUAAUAGAUUUUUCAACCAUUUUUUCAACUCUCUAAGCUCAGCUAGAGGUAGGAAGGAAUACAGUUAGGCUGGGUAUCUGGAAGAAAAUCUAUUCCAAAGUUAAUUUUCCUUUUGAGAGGAACUCCGAGAUGAUCUUCAAGGAAAAUAUCUAGAAAUUCCGUUAUUACUAAAACUGAACCGAGGCUGGGAGUCUUAGAGUUAGAGUCUUUGAAUCAAACAAGAAGGUAAACACACCCCUUAGAUAUCAUUUUUCUCGCUCUAAGUUAAGAAAUAAUCUUACCCUUAAGAGCUGAAGUACUACCCCUCCAUUCAAUGAUUGGUUCAUUAGGAAACUGAAAAUUAACAACUCUAUUUCUACAGUCAACUGUAGCAUAGCAUGUAGAGCCAAUCCAUGCCGAGAAUGACAUCAAAAUCAGUCAUCUCUACCUAUAUAAGAUCAACUAAAGUGAUUUCUGGGAUACUAUAACUGGACAAUUCCUAUGUACCCAUCUGGCUAUGAUAGAUUUACCCACUAGAGUAGACACUUAGAAAGGCUCUACAAAUAUUUUUAGGUUGAUACCAAAAUUAAUAGCUAUAUAGGGGAUUACAAAAGAAGGUGGGAUAUAGGUUUAAUAAAACAUACACAUAAAGAAGAAAGCCCUAUAACAUACGUGUAACUACAUCAGGAGAACUAUCCUGAUCCUUUUGAGACUGAGGCACAUACAACCUAUUCUAACAUUGCCCACUGGUUGUACUAGAUGCGGCACCCUACUGAGUCGGGGAAUUGGCGGGGACCAAAGGAUGAGCUGACUUUGCUGACCCACCAUUGGACAUUUUUUGAUUCAGUCGCCUAGCUUGCCACAUCCAAAACAAACAUAAUUGUCAGCCAAGCAUUCACUUGGAUAAUUCUUACCAUAUCUCCGACAAAGUGGAUUAGUGCGACCACCAUUUACACUACCUUGUGACUUAGAGCCUAGUGCCCUAUCGCGACUGUCAUUGCUAAACUUUAGCACUGGAUCACUAGCUGAAGACGGAGAUGGAGCUAAAAUUUUUUGACAAAACUGAGAAUGGUUACCCCCAUCUAAACUCGACUGUGAAAAGUUAAAACUGCUUGUUCUAGCCUCCUUACACUCUCUUUCUUUCUCCUUAAUCUGAUCCUCCUUAGUCUAUUUAGAAUGAACCAUAAUUCUAGAUAAAUCUAUCUCCUUAAUCAACAUGGCAGUCCUACACUCCUUGACUAUACUAUAACCUACACAAGAAACAAUCUUACUUAUUGUAGACCUGUUGCCAGCCACCACAUUAGGAGUAUACCUCGCCAAUUGAGUAAACUUAAGUGAGUACUCCAUCGCACUCACAGAACCAUGCUUAAAAUUUAUGAACUCAUGCACCUUAGCUUCCUCAACUCUAGUGGAAAGAACUUGUCCAAGAAAGUUGUGGAAAUAUCCUCCCACUCUAUAGGCCCAGCCUCAACACCCCUAUUCUCCUUCAACUGCUUAUACCAGGUAUGAGCUAUAUCCUAUAACUGAUAAGUAGCCAAUUUUGCACUCUCACUUUAAGUGACACCCAUAAUAUUUAUCACCUUCCAAACUAUAUCAAAGAACUUGUACGGAUCCUUUCAAACUUGGAUCCCAAAAACAAAAAGGGAUUCAUUCGAGUAAAAUCCUAGACCCUAACUACACUAGUAUUUUCCACUAGAUUGGCUAGGAUAGCAGCCUACUAAUUGUUCUGAGUAGCUACAAAAUGGUUUAGAGUUAUAAAAGAGGCCCUAAAUUAGGUGUGAGUGACAUACUCAUUCAGGGGAUCUUCCUGAACAGGUGGUAGUUGGGCUAAUUCCUCUUACUUCUUCUAUUAUUUGUUUUAAGGAGGCAUUAUCUAUAAUAGAAUAAAGGAUGAGAUAGAAAAAGAGUAUAAAUAGAGCUUAUGCUCUUUCACAUGACAUGAAUACUAAAAGAAGAGAAACUUUCCCUAAAACGUAUUGUAGCCUCUUGUCCAUAAAUCUGGUGUGCUUCACACCCAUGCAUAAGACUCUGCUGAACGUGGCUUUCAAACUCCAUAGGACACUGUAAAGCAAUAGUCUUAGAUACCAACUUUUUUUAUGACCCAAGGCUACCCCUAAUCACAACAAUGGUGCUUACGAUAACAAUUGACCUCAAGCUAACCCAUGAGCUGGUACCUAUUGUGAGCACUAAGUAAUUUAGCAAUAAAAAAAUAUGUAUGAUAAAUAUAAAUCAAUAAGGAAAAGUUAAUUUAAAUACUGAAAGAAGAUUCAAUCACAAGUCUUUAAACAUCUGAUAAAAAUUCUAAAAUGCAACUAACAAUACUGUUAAAUGGAUUAGCUAUCUAACAAAAUAUAUAAAUGUCUCAAAAGUCUCUAACUGACUGACUGUAUAGUUGAUAAGACAAACCCCCCAACUAACCCCAACUUCCUAAGUAAAAUAAAUGCUAAAAUAACUGAAUGAAAGAUAAAAUUGUCCUUGAAGGAUAAGGACUCACCACUGCUGCUGUUGCUAUAACGCUGGACGAUUUAGGUACGAUCAAGAAACUAAGCGUCUGAACCUAUGAUAUUAAACAUCAUAGAACAAAGAAGUUAAUGCGAUCAGUACUUUAAAUAUAUUGGUAUAUGAGAUAUGAUUAGGCUGAAAUACAUGGGCUAACUGCACAUGAAAUAAUGACUGACUGAAUAGCAUGAGAUAACUGAACAUGAAUGCAUAAAAAACUAAGAUAUCUGAGAAUGCAAGACCAAGCAUAUAAUAUUUCUGAAAUUAUAAAUAAACUGAAAUACUGAAAUCUUAUUACAGAAUAACUAAAAAUCUGUAUGCCUUGGUCAAACAAACCUGAGCAGAGUUCUAUAUUGAAUAAUUCAUUGACUUUAUGGGAGUUAUCAUCUAACUGAUAUGCCCCAAUUUGAACUAAUCGGGGUUUAAUCUAUAACCCCAGUUGGAAGGCUGUUAGUACCGUGACAUGGGUACUAACAUUGGCUAACAAUGUAUACCUACAAGGCUGAUGUCUCAAAGGACUAAAGAGUCACCCUAUACUGGCAGGUACUCUCAUGAGAUACGUGUGCACCUUAAAUUGGCAGAAAGAUAUCUCAAACCUACACUAGCUACGUAGUUUUGUAACUCAGAGAUUGCUACUAAGGGUAAAACCCUAAAUUGGCAGGAAUGACCCCAUCCCUGGGUUCUGUCGGUGUUGAAUCCUACUCCCAACUAAAAGACACUUAUUUGUAAACUUAACUAAGUUUUACUGAGCAAACAAAUAAUCAUAAUAAUUGACCAAAUGACAAUGCUCAUGGUUAUUAUAAAAUCAUUCUGAAGAUAUUGAAAUUAUGUAAAUAACUAGGUAUCAGGUGUUCAUAACCCACCAGUACUUAAUGGAAAUAAAAAAGGAACAUAUAAAACCUUUAAAGACCUUAAUAGGAAAUUAUUAUUUAAAAUCGAUUACUUGGGCAUUUCAUCAAAAACAUGGAGCUCAAUACUUUAACAUGAGGAUGCUUUUAAACAUAAGAAGAUAUCAUGAUUACAUGACAAAAACCAUAAUAUAAGGAUUUAUUCUGACUCGCAUGAACAUGAUAUGGGAACUACAAUAUUCAAAAUAUACUAUAAUCUAUUCUACUUGAAAACACAUAUAAUCUUAACUUUGAGAUUGAAAUAACAAGGGGUUCGUCGAGAUAGUUCAACAAAAUCAUGUAAAACUCAUAAUUUAAGAUCAAAAGGGGUUCUUGAACUCCAUGGUUGAAAAGGGCCCAUGGAUGAACAUCACAUAUUCCUUAAAUCCUUAAUCUUGGAAGAGAAACACUAAUCUGGAUGUCUCCUUAAAGGUUCUUGAAUUUAGGAACUUGAAUUCUUGGUUUCCUUGGAGAGAAAGUAAAGGAAUUGAUGAUCUUGAGGGAUGAGUAGGGUUUUUUUGAGAGGGAUAUUCUAGAAGAGGGGCAAAGAAUUCCCUAACUGAUGAUAUAACUCAUGAUUUGACAACUUGGAUUAAGGGGAAAAGACACAAUUUCCCCUCAGGCAAUUAAAUUCAUAACUGGACUGCAUUUUACAUGCUCACUAUGAUGUGGUGAAGGUGCCAUUGGGAAUAGCACCGUGAUGCGGUACUAUCGCAAUGAGCUGCAAGAAUCGUGAUCCAAACAUGACCCAAUCCUCAUUCAAAAAAUUUAAAACUUCUCUGAGACGUGCUCUUUAAACUCCUGAGUAUAAAUUAACUCAAAAACCAACUUCUCGGAGUCAGGAAGACCCUUUUUAAAAUCCCCAAAGUUAGGAGGCCUAAAAAAUGACUACGUCCCCAACACUUAGAGAAAUUUUUAGAAUUUAAGCCUCUUAUGCAUGCAACUAGAAGUUUAACUGAGAUAAGAAUAUUAUGGGGACAGUUAUACAGUUAUAUUCACCAGAUAUUUAUACAUGGUCUUGCGUACAAUUCACCAUGUCUUAUGCAUUCAUUUUCAGCUUAUAUUAGUUAGUGUUUCCCCUCUUACAUACUCAGUACAUUCAAAGUACUAAUCCUAUACUUUUCUGUUCUAUAUUCACUUAUAAUAUACGUCAGAUGCUCAGUACCCGAAUUGCACUUAGUAUGUUUUCAUACCAUCAGUUGUAGUAUUAGUGCAUCCUCAUCAUUCGAGGACCAACUAUCAAUUAUUUAUUUUUAGUCUACUUUAUUUCAGUUAGUUGGAGUUAGUUAGGGGCUUGUCCUAAUAACUCAUUAUGACUUAGAGGCUUUCAAACAACUAGUUAUGUGCCUAACUUGUUGAUUAUUUCGAACAAUAUUAGUAUCGAUUCCAUUAUCAUUUAUUAAGAGUUUAUUUUUAUUUCUUACAUGUUUGGAGUAGCUGCCCUUAUAGUAAGUACAAACCGAUAAAAAGAAAGAAUAAAAGAUUUUUGUUUUAUAUCAAAGAUGCUCUCUGUUUUUCUCUCUUAUCCAAUUUGUAAGUCUUUUUUUGAAGUCUUUUAGAAGUUUGGUAAACAAUGUAAGGUUGAAGUUUAGGUUCUUGAUUGAUUGAUGUUUGGUGAAUUUGAGCAAAAGGGUGUUUUUUAAUCUUAAUUUUGGAGAUCUGUGGUUUAUAAUGUUUGAAUCUUUAUUGAUUCUUGUAUGUUUGGACUCGUUAUUUUUAUGGGGAUACUUACUAUCAUUGACACUGGGAACCCAACUUCAGUGAUGACUAGGAACCCAUCAGUUUUUGAUGAUUUUACAGCGACCACUAGUUUUUUGGGCGAAGCGGCAUUGGUUUACAACAAAACUGAUUGUUUCUUUCUCUCAUCACCAAAAACAACUCUUUUCUAUUUUUUUUCCUAACCCUUUUUAGGUGCUACUAGUCCAGAUCAAACACCUCUCCUCAGGCGGUGACAUCAAGAUCCUGGUAAUCAAUACACUCUCUAGCAGUAGCAUAUUUUCUGGUGAAAAAUAAUAGGGAAGCUGUACGAAUAGUAGGGUAAAGGUGGAAACAAUAAAUUUUGAUGACCAAUUUAUGCGCCAAUUUAUUGGAAUCUAAUGAAACAAUCAAGAAAACAUCCCUACUCCAUCUUCUUCAAUGAUUAGGUGCACUUGUUUCACUCCUCUAUAGUUUAUUUUUGGGUAGUUUAUUUGGCCUAAGUUUUUCAUCAUCUUUUUUAGCUUGAUUUCUUGUUUGUUUUUCUUGAUUUCUCCUAUGGGAUUACUGUAGGUAGUGUAGUGCUUGUAGUGGUUUGUGAAUAUUAACUCUGCUUGUUGGUUUUGCUUGCAUACUUAUUUGCUUUUAGCCGUUGCUUAUUGUGUUCUUUAUCUCUAUUGCUUUUUUUAUUCUAUCAUAUUUGAGUAGUGGCUGGGGCAAUAUAUGGUGUAUUAGGGUCAUAUGAUAGGAUGGGAUCAGUAGGAUGGGAUCAGUGUUGGGGUUAGGGGUUGGGGUUAGGGCGAGAAAGAGAGAAGGGUUGGGUCUAGGUUCGAGUCGAGGAUCGAGAGCUAGGGGUAGUAGAACUAGAUGGGAUAAGGGUGCUUCUAGGUUGAGAGAUAGGUUAUAGAACAUAGGAACUCUUUAUGAAAGUUGAUAGGUCUUGUGAAGAUUCUUAGAAAGAAGAGAGUUAGUAUAGCUUGUGUCCAGGAAACUAAAUGGGUAGACACUAAGGUAAGGGAUGUGAAUGGAUAUAAGUUGUGGUACUCGGGUAGUAUGAGACAUAGAAAUGGGGUAGGUAUCUUAGUAUAUGAUGAACUUAGAGAGAAGAUCAUGGAGGCUAAGAAAGCCAGUAAAGAGUUGAUGUCUAUUAAGUUGGUCAUCGGAGGGUCUAUGGUGAACGUCAUUAGUGCCUAUACUCCGCAAGUAGGUUUGGAUAGGGAGGAGAAGAAGGGCUUUUAGGAAGUUUUGGAUGAGGUGGUGAGGGGCAUCCCGAGCACUGAGAAGCUUUUCAUGGGAGGAGAUUUCAAUGGGAAUAUUGGGUUUUUGUCAAAAUGGUAUGAUGAUAUGCAUGGCGAUUUUGAUUUAAGGGAAAGUAAUAAAGGUCGUAGUUUAGUGGCCAAGAUGCAGAUUAACUUUUUACUCCUUAUAAAGGGUGAUAGAGCGCUAUGUAAAUAUUAUAAAGUCAUACAUAGCGAGAAUCUUUUGACUCAACAUAAGUUGUUGGUGAUUGACUUAGUAAUCAAUAAAGGUAGAAAAAAAAGAGUGUGAAGGCUCAGUCCAGGAUUAAGUGGGGUAGCUUGACAUUGUGUAACACCCCAAUUUUUCUAAACCGAAAUAUUCCACGGUGCUCAUGACCCUGAAGGACCAUAAGCUAACCCAUGACUGAUAUCUGUACCCGUAUACUACAUAAUAUAAUAUGAAGAUGCAGAAAAACAUGUACCGAAAGGCCAUAAGGUUCAAAUCUAAAUAAACAUAUGAUAAGAAUAAUAUCUGAAGAUGGUAUAAUAAUACCAAAACAAAUCUGAAAUAACUAUCUGAUAUGCUAUAGUCUGGAAAGCCUCUAACUGUCUGAAUAAGGAUUUGAUGGGAUAUGUCCCCAACUAACUCCAUCUAGCAACUAAACUAUAAUAGCAAAUAAAGAAAUAAUUAUAUCAUUCUCGAAUGAGAAGGACUCACUGUAAACUCUGAACAUUGGAAUGCUACUGCUGAUCUGGAGCUCGUGCCUCUAAACCUAUGGUGUAACAUAAGAGAAAGCACCAUAGCCCAAAUGCGUCAGUAUAACUGAAUGUACUGAGUAUACGAGUGAGGUAGGCUAAAUGCGAAGGAUUUAUAUGCAUGAACAAUGCUGACUAAUAUAAACGUGAGAAUACAGACAUGCAUAAGCAACUAUAACUUAACUCGUGAUGAUACUGAUAACUGAGUCUGAAUAUUGAUGAUAUGACUUUACUGAUACUGAGAUACUAAAUAAAUGAAUCACUAUUUUUGAUAGUUUGAAUUAUGAAGAACUAGUUUGAUUGACUGUGUCUAACAGUCUUGAAAUUGAAUACUGAUAAUAUAAGCUAUGACGACUAACAUAACUGAUAUAAUUGUGAUGAUCGGCCUAACCAAUGUAACUGAUACUGAGCGACUGUUCUGAUAGUCUAAGUUCUGAUGGAACUAUCUGAGUUCCUUUCUAUAUAGAGUAACUAAAUUUGAGAUUAGUCCUAUCUAGCGAGUGAUCUUUGAGUAUAUUGAUAAUAAAAGAUGAUUUGACUUAGUGUGAGAUAAGUCCUAUCUAGUGGGUGAUCUAUAAAUCUGAUGAUUUAAAUACUGAUUAACCAUAGUUGAGAUCAGUCCUAUCAAAUGGGAGAUCUCGAAGUCUACUAAUAAUGAUAAAGAUUUAUUGUAUCUAACAGUACUGAAUCUGUACUACUGAACUGGGUUUGACUGUAUCUGACAAGCCUAAAUCUAUAACUGAAAUUAUGGGAUGUAUUCAUCUAACCGAUAUACCUCAUGCUAAGCUGACUGGAGUCCAAUCUCUGCCCUGACUGGAAGGGUGUCAGUACCACGCCACCAGUAAAGACAACUGCUGUGGAGUCAGUCCUAAUCUAGCGGCUGACUCCUGGGAUUAGUCCUAUACAUAUAAAUGUGCUAACGGGUAACCCCUGAGUAUGCCAGUCCUAUCUAAUGGGUGACAUCUCGUACCUACACUGGCUACGUAGUUCUGGAACUUAGGGAUUGCUUCUAAGGAUCUCCAUCCUUUAUAGCGGUUGAGUCCCCAUCCCAAGGCUCACUCGAUGUUGAAUCCUACUUCCAUCUGAAAGACACUGAACUAGAUAACUGAGCUAAAUGGAAUAACUGAACUGAACUGAUUAGCUGGACUAAUACUAAUUAACUAAACUGAUACUAGUGGUAUUUUUUAGCGGAGCUAAACUAAGUUUAAUGAGUUCCCUUGACUGAAGGAACGUACUGAAUUUUGAGGACAGACUGAGAAUACUGAAAUUACUAAGAUCGCUAGGAAUUUUGUUAUUACUGAGAUCACUGAUAUUACUGAGUACUGAGGUUACUGAACUACUGAGACUACUGAGAUUUCUGAGUUUUCUUGAGUCACAUAACUAACUGAAUUUUAUAGACCAUGGCUUGAUUGAGAGUAUCAUGAUAACAUGACAUGGCACUAGGCACACAACUAUAUUAUUUCGGGUACAAGUACCCCUAGGACUCAAUGGAAGGAAACUGACACACAUAGCUGACUUGAGUACGUGACCAACAUCAACAAUCCAUAAUAUCAUAACUUAGGAAAUUCCAUAAAGUGCAUGGAUAUCAUACAUUUUGUACAUAAGUAGGAUUUUCAAGUAAGCAUGGCAUAAUCUCAUAAGACUAGUUCAUGAACAUCCCAACAACAUUUACAAGACACAAUAUCCACAUGAAAAUCAUUGGAACAUAUGGUCAUAUCAUGAAUCCUUCACUUAGUCACAAUUAGCUAUAUUGCAUGAUUUCUAGUUCCUUAGGCAUUUUAUCAAACAUCUUGCAUGCACUCUUUUAAGGUAUAGGUAUAUUUAUCAAUUCGACCGUCUUAAUCCAUCCCAAAUUUAUGGGUUUCAACUAACCUAUUCACAUGCUUCAUGAAAACACAUCAAGAUACAACCUUGAAUCCAAACAACAAUCAUCAACAUGAAUAUAGUCAUAAUAUGAAAAGGAAAUCACAAUUUAUAAUUUAAACCAUCAUUCUUGAGCUCCAUGGAUGAAAGGGACCCAUGGAUGAACACUAGGCUUACCUUAAAGUUUGAUCUUGAAAGAGAUCUAAUGUUUCUGAAGGUUCCUAAAGAAAUCCUUAGGCUUGCCCUUGAUUUUUCUUAACUAGGGUUUUACCCCUUUGGGAGAGAAUGUUCUUGUUCUUGAGGAGAUGAUAUUAAGAGAAAACCCUAAUCUUAUGGUUGAAAGUGUAUGAGAGAGCUUUUUGAAAUAUUUAACUAAAGAGAAUGAAAGAUAAUACGUUCCUUGAGGGUUAUAAGUUGUGGGAAGUAAAGGGAAAAGACCAAAAUACCCUUACUAAAACGUCCCUCAUGUUCUGGAAAGAAAAGCUAACGAAAUUCGUGACAAGGCAUAAAAAAUGUGAAAGGCCAUAAAAAAUGUCGUCACAUAGAAGCUGUAUUCUGCCUAAGGCUGAUGACAAUUUUGACAAGGCGUCACAAAUGUGACAGGCCGUCAAAAUUGUCGUCACACAGUUGACAACCCAACAUGCUGGAGUAAAAUGAGCAUAACUACUUGCUCCGUUAUCAGAUUUGGGUGAAAUUAGUAUCAUUGGAAAGAUAAUUCAAAGAUAUUUCAUUUGAUAUAUAGUAAACUACCCAGUUUGUCAGAUAAAAUGAGUUAUAUUCAAUUGAAGUUAACCCAAGUUUUGAAGCUCACUAAAACUUUAACGAUAGGAAAGGUUUCAACUUGUACUUGAGUUAGGGGACCUAUAUGAUCUAAAUUCAUGCUCAAAUAGAUUCCCACACUACAUAAUUGAUUAGCACACUAAAUUUACAUAGUAUUUGAGGCUUUUGAAAUAUCUACGCAUAGGAAUGAUGGAUUUUUAUUCUAGUCCAAAAUGUGGGGUAUUACAAUAUCUCCCCCUUGGGAACAUUCGUCCUCGAAUGAGAACGACUAAGAUGGAAGAAAAGAUCGACUGAAGUACAUACAAUACAUACACUACUGAUACAUGGUUUCAGAAUUGACAUAACUGAUAAGUUGAAUACAUCAUACUGAACAUGUAUAUCUGAUGCAUGACUAACUGAUUCAUGAAUGCACGACUGAGUAUUCUGAUGAACUAAGUUUCUCAUAAUAAGAACGCAUAUAUGAUGCCUAAUUGAUGAGCUGAAUCCAUGCAUAUCUAAUGCAUGAUUAUAUGACUAACAUGAUAUAUGAAUGCAUUACAGAAAGUACUGAUAAGCUGAUCACGUAUAUCUAACGCGUGAAUAUAUGACUGGAUGGGCUUAGGAACAUGCGGUUGAACAUUCAAUGGUAAAGGUACCAAGUUUAAACUGAAAACUAAGCAUGGAACUAAAUACCAAGUUUGUAUUGAAUACUUAACAUGAAGUUGAAUAAGCUUAAAGCGAACUAUUACCUUAAACAGAAAUGCUAAUGAAUCCUGAGAUCAUUUACUAAACAAGCAUAAAUGGAGAACAUAACUGAAUUUGGAACGUGAUACAUGAACUGAACUGAGACAUUGAGUACAUAGCCUACGACUGAGUUUUGGAGCUAGAGGGUCAUCCCAUAAGUAACACUUCCUCUAAGAUAGAUUCAUCAAAGAAAAUGACAUGUUUAAAUCAUGGAAGUUUAGGGGCUAUAGUGUAUCUCCCCCUUGGGAUACUAUGUCCCUUGAAGGAUGCUGGACUGACCUUGCUGAGAUAUUAAGAAAGUUGAGGUGAUGCACAAGUCACCUAGGUAUAAAAUUGUGAUUGAUUAUCUGAGAUGUAAAACUGAAGCGUGAUAUACGAAUGCAUUGACAUACUAACUUAUCUGAUUAACUGAGUAAGUGGUAACUGAAUGCUGGGUAUGCAAGACUGAAUUAUACUUAAUCUGAGUAGCUGGGCUGAGGCCAUAAAGUAUUAUGCAUAUGAGAAGGAACUGACUGGGUAACAUAAGGUAACUGAUCAUGGAUUUCACAAAAGCUAUAUUGUCUGAAAAUGCAGGACUAAACUUAUUACGUAAUUUGGAAACAUUCCAUAGACUGAGGUAUUAAAAUACCUAUAACUGAGUAGCUGAUAAUUGUACGCUAUGGUCAAGCAAGUCUAAAACUGAACUGAAUUUCUGAGCUAAAUACUGAUCUGAAGCUGACAUUAUAACUUAAGAUUGUAACUGGGAUCCAUACUGGAUCUAAAUGAUGGGUCCUGAUAAACUGAGGUUUAGACUGAUACUGAACACUAAUUACUGAGUACUGAAAUGUAACUGAGAUAGAAACUGAGUUAUGAUAGUUGCAUAAUGAAGGAUGACAUAAGUCAAGGAUCUGAAUAUAUAUUCACACUCUGAAUUUUCCCAAUUUCUAAGUACUAUCUCUCGCUAUCCCUUUGCUUGCAUACUAACAGGAUAUUCAAGCCUAUCAUCAUAACUACACCCUUGUGUAAAGAAAGUAUGCAACAACCUUCUCUUAACAUGAAUCAUUCACUCUCUUAUUUAAGCAACUACUCAUCGCUACACUACACUGUAUUCACAAAGAGAGCUCACUGAAGGGGUUAAGUCAGGAGAACCUGAAACAUAAAUAGACACAUAACUAAACUUGGCACUUGACUAAAGUUUGAGGGAUAGAAUAUAAAGACCAUGUGUGUACCAAAAGGUCUAAACUGAGGGUUUGCAUGACAUAGUCUGAAUUUAACUGAUUGGUAGGGAUCUAGCAUGAGUCAUGGAAGGUGAGUAUACUGUAACCAUGAUAUGCAUACAUGAGUCAUGAGCUACAUGACCUGAGUCUGGAAUUUCUGAGUUUAUGAAACAUGAUUUAUAACACUGAGUUAUCUAGAACUGAACUCCUUAUACUGGAAACUAAAAACGUACACUAUUCUAUGGAAUACAUAUGAACAUAAGUUGUAUUCAUGGAAUCUGAGACAUAAAGCAUGCAUAGGAAUUAUGCUGACUAAAGUAUAAAGCUUUACACUAAGAUAAGGAUGGGUCAGGAAUCAUCUUCCCUAACUACUUUUCUAUACAUACUAGCACUGCUACUGGAAUCUGAGAGCCUAAAUUGGGUACUUGAUCUACCAUCUCCCCUUUGGCUUUAAGCCAUCAUCAUUAGUCUGUGAACACUAAAAUAUCUCUGAAUUGAACUACAAUCGUCAUCACAUACUUACACUCUGAUAAACACAUACUUGCCUUACUAAACACAUCAUCUGCCUCUGUUUCCUCACAUAAUACUAAUAUCACAUCCACAUCAUUAUGCUUAAUUUCAAAUCACUAAACUUAAAUUUUCUAUCUCACACUGUUCAAGCCUACUGAUUCAUUAUAGCAUAACUAUCCCCAUGAAUACAUAAUCUAUUCAAUCUGGAUAUCGUAUCCAAACUUGUCUACUGCUAAACUCCAGGGUUCAUGCUUCUAACUCUGGGUCACAUGCUAUCAUAGUAUUUUGAGAACGGAUCUGAUGACAUAUCUAAAUCUGGGUUUGAGAAUGAGUUUUCAUGAUUAUGAAUGAGAUCUGUACAACUUUGGAACAUAAAUUAACUGAUGGGAUACUGUCUGGGAAAGCCCUAUCUUUAGGACUAGAGCCUCAUUGUUUUUGUUACCUUAAAAGUAAGGUGGAAUUAACAUGAGUGAAGAAUGAUGAGAAUCUACAUAAGUUUCAUAGAGAACCUUACUAUAGCACAAUCUGAGACAUGAAAGAAAGGAAACUAUUCCUAAAACAUCUCAUAGCCUCCUGCACAUAAGUGUGGUACAGAACACACGCAUGUACAAGACCCUACUACAUGCGGAAUUUAGACUUCCUAGGACUCUAUUGAACCUUAGGCUCUGAUACCAAGUUUGUAACGCCCCAAUUUAUCUGAACUAGAAUGCCACAUGGUGCUCACAGCCCUAAAGGACUGCAAGCUAACCCAUGACUGAUAUUUGUACCUGUAUACUGCGUAAUAUAACAUGAAGAUACAGAAAAACAUAUACUGAAAGGCCAUAAGGUUCAAAUCUAAAUAAGCAUCUGAUAAGAACAAUGUCUGAAGAUGGUAUAAUAAUACCAAAACAAAACUGAAAUAACUAUCUGACAUGCUAUAGUCUGGAAAGCCUCUAACUAUCUGAAUAAGGAGUUGAUGGGACAUGUCCCCAACUAACUCCAUCUAGAAACUGAACUAAAAUAGUAAAUAAAGCAAUAAUUAUAUCGUUCUCGAAUGAGAAGAACUCACUGCAAACUCUGAACAUUGCAAUACUACUUCUGAUCUACAGCUCGUGCCUCUGAACCUAUGGUGUAACAUAAGAGAAAGCACCAUCGCGCAAAGGCGUCAGUACGACUGAAUGUACUGAGUAUACGAGUGAGGUAGGCUAAACUCAAAGGGGUUAUAUGCAUGAACAAUGCUGACUAAUAUGAACGUGAGAAUACAGACAUGUAUAAGCAACUAUAACUUAACUCGUGGUGAUACUGAUUACUGAGUCCGAAUAUUGAUGACAUGACUUUAUUGAUACUGAGAUAUUAAAUAGAUGAAUGACUAUUUCUAAUAGUUCGAAUUAUGAAGAACUAGUCUGAUUGACUGUGUCUAACAGUUCUGAAACUAAAUACUGAUAACAUAAGCUAUGACGACUGACAUAACUGAUAUAACUAUGAUGAUUGGCCUAACCGAUGUAACUAAUACUGAGCGAAUGUAUCUGACAGUCUAAGUUCUGAUGGAACUAUCUGAGUUUCUUUAUAUAUAGAGUAACUAAAUCUGAGAACAAUCCUAUCUAGUAGGUGAUCUUUGAGUAUAUUGAUAAUAAAAGAUGAUUUGAAUUAGUGUGAGAUCAGUCCUAUCUAGCGGGUGAACUUUAAAUCUGAUGAUUUAAAUAUUGAUUAACCAUAGUCGAGACAGUCCUAUCUAAUGGGUGAUCUCAAAGUCUAUUGAUAAUAAGAAGGAUUUAAUGUAUCUAAUAGUACUGAAUAUGUACUACUGAACUGGGUUUGACUAUAUCUGACAGGCCUAAAUCUAUAACUGAAAUUAUGGGAUGUAUUCAUCUAACCGAUAUACCUCAUGCUAAGCUGACUGGAGUCCAAUCUCUGCCCUGACUGGAAGGGUGUCAGUACUGCGCCACUAGUAAAGAUAGCUGAUGUGGAGUUAGUCCUAAUCUAGCAGGUGAAUCCUGGGAUCAGUCCUAUACAUACAAAUAUGCUAACGGUUAACCCCUAAGUAUGCCCGUCCUAUCUAAUGGGUGGCGUCUCAUACCUAUGCAGGAUACAAAGUUCUGCAACUUAGGGAUUGCUUCUAAGGAUCUCCAUCCUUUCUAGCGGUUGAGUCCCCAUCCCUAGGCUUAGUCGAUGUUGAAUCCUACUCCCAUCUGAAAGACACUGAACUGGAUAACUGAGCUAAACUGAAUAACUGAACUGAACUGAUUAGCUGAACUGAUAUUAAUUAAUUGAACUUAUACUAGUGGUAUUAUUUAGUAGAGCUAAACUAAUUUUACUGAGUUCCCUUGACUGAAGGAAUGUACUGAGUUUUGAGGACUGACUGAGAGUACUAAAAUUACUAAGAUCGCUAGGAAUACUGCUAUUACUGAGAUUACUGAGUACUAAGGUUACUGAACUACUAAUAUUGCUGAGAUUUUUGUGUUUUCUUGAGUCACAUGACUAACUGAAUUCUAUAGACCAUGGCUUGACUAAGAGUAUCGUGAUAACACGACAUGGCACUAGGAAUACAACUAUAUUAUUUCGGGUACAAGUACCCCUAGGACUCAAUGGAAGGAAACUGACACACAUGGCUUACUUGAGUACGUGACCAACAUCAACAAUCCAUAAUAUCAUAACUUGGGGAAUUCCAUGAAGUGGAUGGAUAUCAUACAUUUUGUACAUAAGUAGGAUUUGCAAGUAAGCAUGGCAUAAUCUCAUAAGACUAUUUCAUGAACCUCCCAACAACAUUUACAAGACACAAUAUCAAUAUGAAAAUCAUUGGAACAUAGGGGCAUAUCAUGAACCCUCCACUUAGUCACAAUUUAGCUAUAUUGCAUGAUUUCUAGUUCCUUAGGCAUUUUUUCAAACACCUUGCAUGCACUCUUUUAAGGCAUAGGUAUAUUUAUCAAUUCGACCAUCUUAAUCCAUCUAAAAUUUAUGGGUUUCAACUAACCUAUUCAAAUACUUCAUGAAAAUAUAUCAAGAUACAACCUUGAAUCCAAACAACAAUCAUCAACAUGAAUAUAGUCAUAACACAACAAGGAAAUCACAAUUUAUAAUUUAAAACAUAAUUUUUGAGCUCCAUGGAUGAAAGGGACCCAUGGAUGAAUACUACGCAUACCUUAAAGCUUGAUCUUGAAAGAGAUCUAAUGAUUCUGAAGGUUCCUGAAG